rnacentral:lncRNA from 1 species
AAUUUCGGAUCGAAGGAAACAAGGAUCUGGUGGAGACGUUGCUCAAUGAACAGCUGCUCCCUGCCACUCUUCACACUCUCCAAAUCUUGUUUGUAUCGAAUCUGAAAUCUUUGGACGGAAAGGGACUUGAGCACCUCACUUCUCUUCAACACCUAGAAAUUACGGGGGGUGUAUUCAAUUGAGAUUAUAAGGGAUUUUAAUUCUUUUAAUGAAUCUAGGGGUAUUCAAUCAGGAUUUUAAGUGAUUCUCUGAAAUUCUAGGUGUAUUCAAUUAGCAUUUUAAAAUAGUUUAUUAAAAUCCUUAGAAAUUCAGGUGUAUUCAAUUAAGAUUUUAAAGAAGUUUAUAACAUUCAAGGUGUAUUCAAUUAGAAAUUUAUUUUAAAGAAUUUGAGAAAGUUGAGGAAUUAGAGGGAAUUGGAGAGAUUUCGUAGUGUAUUUUAAAUAUCCACAAAUCUCACCUCUUCCCAUGAGAUUUCGAGGGAAUUGAAUCAAAAUUUUAUAUGGAAUCUCUACAAAUCAAUUAAACUCCAUAAAAAUCCAUGGAUUUAUAAAUCCAAUAAAGUCUCUCAAAUUCUCAAUUGAAUACACCCUCCUACAUGUUGCGAGAGUCUCAAAUUCCUGCCAAAAGAGGGUUUUCCGGCAUCUCUUUCUUAUCUGAAGAUCCGGGGUUGUCCUUCUCUGAAGAAGAGGUAUCUGAAGAAGAGACAUGAGAAGGUAGCUCGCAUUCCUUGCAUAGAGAUAGACGGAGAAUUAACAUCUUGUGAGCUUUCAUUUCACUCUCUCCAACUCUCAACUCUCAAGACAAAAGCCAGGUACUUUUUUUAUUCAUUAUUAAAUUGAUUGUCCUCAGCAAUAUUCCUAAUUAAAUUGAUAAAUUCAAGUUUCAGAGUCUAAUCCCGAUGAAAUUACAGGAGAGUACGAGGGGAGUGAAUUAUUUCUAGUCUGACAAGAGGUAAAACCCUGGAUGAUGGUUUCACUGAUGCAGCGAGCAAGCAAACCUGUAAAGAUAGGUUUAUCAAAUGGUGCUCUGAUUUUCUGGACUGUCAAGUUUGAAAUCUUUUGGACCGAAAUGAACUUUCAAUACCUCCCACUUUCACAAUUCCUGCCGGGACAGGGACCUCUAGACCUCUCUCGUCUACAGCCAUACAAAGAUUGAAUGUAUGUGGGACUUCGUCGGUCCAUAGAGAAAACUUUUGAACUGUAAAGAUAGGAUUAUCAGAGGGAAAACGAUGUUAGAUUACAUCAACCACUCAGGUACUUGUGUAUAUAUGUACUGCCUUUCGGUAACAAUGUAAUUCAACUAUGCUAUAAGUCAGGACAACACGAUGGGACUAACGUAUUUGUUGGCUUUAUUGAUGCAGAUGGCAUUUUAUUGAUGCAGAUGGCAACUCUGGGAUUGUAAAGAUAGGAUAAUCUACAGCCAACGAUUUAAACAUGCAUCAAUUAGUUAUCCUUGAAUGGUGCUAGCUCCAGCUAUCUGGCAUGAAUAUAAUUCUCCUUUAAUUGGAGGGGUAACCCCUGAUAUGAUGUUUUUUUUUUCUAUUACUUUUUUUUUAGUUUAAAUAUGAGAGGCAUGCCUUUUCAUCUUCACUUGAUGUGACUCUCAUCUACUAAUGGGCGCAUAUAUGCUUUUGUACAGAUUGAGCGCGCUUGAUCUUUUGUCAUGCUUACGUUUGUUGGUAUUCCAUUUGCUUGUUUUCUAAGAUACAUGUAUCAAUAAUAAUUUCUUCAUCUUUGAAUUUAGGAGUAUCUUUUUAAUCUGAGGUAUGAAAAAGGAAAGCAGUUGAGUUGGCAUCCUACUGACAUGGAUUUGAGAGAAAACAUGCUUUUCACAGUUCGAUUUAGAAUGAAACGGUAGAAAGUGUGUGAAGGCAUAGCUCUGCGUUCUUUUCCUACAUUUUCAUCAAAACUCGGCAUCCACAUACUCUCCUUACAGAAAAAUAUAUUUCGCAUACGUUAAAUGAAAUUAUGCCUCUUGUUGCCGCCUAUGAACAUCUUUUACCGUUAUAUUUAUUAUUAAAUUGAUUUUCCUUAGCAACAAUAUUCCUACUUAAAUUCAAGUUUCAGAGUCUAAUUCCGAUGAAAUUACAGGAGAGUGUGAUGGGAGUGACUUUUUUGUAGUAUGAUAGUGUGUAUCUACUUGGGGUGGAUAUAUGAUUCUCCUGCAUGUGAGGGUUCUCUCAUACUUGUCUCGUUUGUGGCAUAACUUUCUCAUCUUUCACUGUAACUGUAAUCUUCAGGUAGGUCCACAGGAGAUAUGUUUCUCUCUACUAACACAACAGUUGAAGAGUGCCUAAUGGCUGAGCUUGCUUGAAUGCCAGCAUGUACAAUGCGUUGCUAGAUUGCAUUUAUAUUAAGGAGGAUUUCACUGGUGGAAAAUUGCAGAUCAGCUGUAAAUUAAUUUACUUUCUCACUUUUUCUAUCUUCAUUUUGCCUUAUCUAUAUUGCAUUUAUAUAUCAGUCUUUUUCUUUGACAGUUCAAUUCAACUAUAUGCUAAAUCAGGACAAUGUGAUGGUAGUAGCAGGUAUAUCGGUUUCAUUGAUGCAGUGAGCAAACAGAGUAAACCUGUAAAGAUAGGAUUAUUAAAUGGUGCUCUGGUUUUCUGUCAAGUUUGAAAUUUUUGGACAGAAAUGGACAUUCAACAGGGAACUGCAGACCUCAGUUCUCGUCAACAUCUAUAUAAAGAUUGAAUGUAUGUUGGACUUCAUCGGCCCAGAGAGAAAUCUAUUGAACUGUAAAGAUAGGAUUAUCAGAGGGCAAAUGAUGUUAGCUUACAUCAACCACUCAGGUACUUAUGUAUAUAUAUGACACCACUUGCGUUUAAUUUUGUUAAAUUACUUUUUAGCAGUAUAAUUCAACUGUGCUACCCUUUCUUCUUUCUCUUAUUUUUCAUUUCUCCCCUAACAUUUACAUGUUUCUUGAAAUUUCAGGACAGUUUCAUCAAAUAUAAUAGCAACCGGUUUUAGCUUACAUAUCAAUUACUGGUUGUUGAUUGGUGCGGCGGCAAUCUCUCGCAUAUAUGAUUCACCCUGCAUGGGCUCCUUGAUGAUGUUUUUGUUUCUCCGAUGUACUGCUGUGGUUUCCAUACGGCGGAAUGCUCGCUCAUCUUUCAAUGCCUCUGUCAUCUUGAGGUAGGUGUAUACACAAAUGUUUAUAUACAAACACAAUGGUUGAAGAGAGCAUGGCUUAUUGGCACCGCUUUCUAGAAUGUCACUGUUACUUGACUCAGUGGCUGUCUGCUACUGCGCCUACGGAUUUCAGUGUGAGCAGUUGAACACUUUAGUGUAACGAUGGGACUAGCAUAUAUGUCGGCUUUAUUGAUGCAGAUGGCAACUCGGGAAUUGUAAAGAAAGGAUCAUCUACUGCCAACAAUUUAAACAUGCAUCAAUUAGUUGUCCUUGAAUGGUGCUACUCCAGCUAUCUGGAAUGAAUAUAAUUCUCCUUUAAUCGGAGAGGUAACCCCUGGAAUGAUGUUUUUUUUUUUCCUUUCUAAAUACUGUUUAUAGUUUGAAUACGAGAGGCAUGCAUUUUCAUCUUCUCUUGACGUCACUCUCAUCUUCGCAUGGGUGCAGAUUUGUACAAACAAAGUGGUUGAACAGCGCGCUUGAUCCUUGUAGCACUGUCGUCAUGCUUGCAUUUGUUGAUAUUCCAGUAAAUGAGCUUUCCACCACUCUUUUGUUUUAAGUUCCGUUUGCUUGUUUUAAAGAUAACCAUUACUGACCAGAAAGACACCAAAUUCUCCUUUAGGUGCUUCAACUGCGGUAUAGGUAGAAGAUGCUGGUACGGAAAAAUCUUCUUCAUCUUUGAAUUUAGGAGUAGCUUGUUAAGCUGAGUAUGAAAAAGGAAAGCAGUUGAGAGUUGGCAUCCUAUUGAAAUGGAUUUGAGAGAAAAUAUGCUUUUCACUUUGGAGUUAGAAUGAAACGGUAGAAAGUGUGUGAAGGUAAAGCUCUGCGUUCUUUUCCUACAUUUUCAUCAAAACUCAGAAUCCGCAUAGUCUCCUUAAAGAAUAAUAUAUAUCACAUACUUUAAAUGAAAUUGUGCCUAUUGUUGCUGCGUAUGAACAUCUUUUCUCCCGGAAGUGAUCCAAAGGAACUGAGAGGUUAUAGCAUUCUUCUCACCAUUGUGGAUUUCAUGAGAAAUCAAGAGAAUAUUGAAAGUUGCAUCUGGACUCGGAGGUUUGUUUUCUGUAUAUUAGCAUGCGUGAUGUCUUGUGAUGUCGUGUGACUUGCAUAGCAAGUUAACAAACGAAGAAAAAAAUUAUUUGAACAUUGCAGAUUCACUCACUAUAUAUAUGUAGGCGAUCAUUUGAUUGGUUAACCAAUCUAGAGGAAGUCUGGAAGAUGCCGUGGGGAAAUAGUUGGUGAUACGCCUUAACCCAAGUUUGAUGGGGAAAGUUGGAGCAACGUGCUUUCAAUUUUAGAAACCUUCUUGGUAAGUAGCAACUCAACCGUGGUAGUGCUUCGUGUACAUUACCGCACAUAGCAGAAAAUUUCCCCAUCGUUAAGGUGUCCAUUCAUUGUUUCCCUUAAUAGUAUUUGCUUUUCUGAAUCGUAUGCAGCCAAAUGCACACUUUUGUUGCUGCCUGUGCAGCCAAGUGCGCGCGGGGGAGUUCAUUUUCCUCUACCAGGUACGCUGAGGCCAGAGCACUAUGUCGUUGGCUGCAGAUGGUGGCUGAUUUGGAAGCUGCAGCUGUGGAAGUGGAGAGUAAUUCUAAGGGCUUGUCUCUCUUCGACAAUUUCGGAUCGAAUUUUGUGAGAGACUGAGGCCUUCAGUGGAAUGGGGAUUGCAAGGGCUAGUCUCUCUUCGACAAUUUCGGAUCGAAGGAACCAAGGAUCUGCUGGAGACGUUGCUCAAUGAACAGCUGCUCCCUGCCACUCUUCACACUCUCCAAAUCUCUCAUGUAUGGUAUCUGAAAUCUAUGGACGGAAAGGGACUUGAGCACCUCACUUCUCUUCAAAAGCUACAAAUUUCAAAGUGCGAAAGUCUCAAAUUCCUGCCAAAAGAGGGUUUUCCGGAAUCUCUUUCUUAUCUGAACAUCUUGGGGUUGUCCUUCUCUGAAGAAGAGGUAUGAGAACAUAGAUCGCAUUCCUUGCAUAGAGAUAGAUGGAGAAGUCAACCUCUUGUGAGCUUUCAUUUCACUCUCCAACUCUCAACUCUCAACUCUCAAGACAAAAGCCAGGUACUAUUUUAUUUAUUAUUAAAUUGAUUGUCCUCAGCAAUAUUCCAGCUUAAAUUAAAGUUUCAGAGUUUAAUUACGAUGAAAUUACAGGAGAGUGGGAGGGGAGUGAAUUAUUUGUAGUCUGAUACUGUGGAACUACUUGGGGGUGGAUAUAUAUGAUUCUCCUGCAUGACAAGAGGUAAAACCCUGGAUGAUGGUUUUCUCAUACUUCUCUCGUUUGCGACAUAACUCUAAUCUUGUGGUAGGUGUGAUGGGACUAACAGAUAUAUCGGUUUCACUGAUGCAGCGAGCAAGCAAACCCGUAAAGAUAGGAUUAUCAAAUGGUGCUCUGGUUUCUGGACUGUCAAGUUUGAAAUCUUUUGGACGGAAAUGGACUUACAACGCCUCCCACUCGCAAUUCCUGCCGGGACUCGACCCUCUAAACCUCAAGCUCUCUUCAACAGCUAUAUAAGGAUUGAAUGUAUGCGGGACUUCGUCGGUCCAGAGAGAAAACUAUUGAACUGCAAAGAUAGGAUUAUCAGAGGGAAAACGAUGUUAGCUUACAUCAACCACUCAGGUACUUGUGUAUAUAUAUACUGCUGUGGUUUCCAUAUGGCGGAAUGCUUACCCAUAUUUCAAUGCCUCUGUCAUCUUGUGGUAGGUGCAUACACAUAUGUUUCUCCGCAAAGACAAUGGUUGGAGAGAGUAUGGCUUAUUGGCAUCGGUUGCUAGAAUGCCAGUGUUACUAGACUUGGUGGCUGGCUGCUGCAUCUACAGAUUUCAGUGUAAGUAGUUGAACACUUGGAGUGCAAUUUGUGCUUCCUUUAUGUAUCAUUGUAAUUCAACUAUGCAAUCAGUCAGGACAAUUCGAUGGGACCAACGUAUUUGUCGGCUUUAUUGAUGCAGAUGGCAACUCUGGAAAUGUACAGAGAGGAUUAUCUAUAGCCAACGAUUUAACAUGCAUCAAUUAGUUGUCCUUGAAUGGUGCUAGCUCCAGUUAUCUGGCAUGAAUAUAAUUUUACUUAUGUUGGAGAGGUAACCCCUGGAGUGCUGUUUUUUCUAAUGCUGUUGUAGUUUGAAUAUGAGAGGCAUGCCUUUUUAUCUUCUCUUGAUGUCACUCUCAUCUACGAAUGGGCGCAGAUAUGCUUUUGUACAGACAGAGUGGUGGAACAGCUCGCUUGAUCCUUGUAGCACUAUUCUCAUGCUUGCGUUGGUAUUCCAGUAAAUAAUAUUACUAGAGUAAGUGGUUGGCUGGUGUGCUACUGAUUUCACAAGAAUGAUAAUUCUUACGUUGAGCACUGCAGACGAGCUGUAAAUUAGCUUUCCACCACUCUCUUGUUUUAAGUUCUAUUUGCUUGUUUUCUAAGAUAAAUGUAUCCAUAAUAAUUUCUUCAUCUUUGAAUUUAGGAGUAUCUUGUUAAGCUGAGGUAUGAAAAAGGGAAGCAGUUGAGUUGGCAUCCUAUUGAAAUGGAUUUGAGAGAACAUGCUUUUCACAGUUCGAUUCAGAAUUAAACUGUAGAAAGCUUGUGAAGGUAAAGCUCUGCGUUCUUUCCCGCUCUUGAGGAAGAUGCAGUGGAGAAAUAGACGAUGCUUCACCUUAACCCAAGUUUGAUGGGUAAAGUUGGAGCAGCGGGCUCUUAAAUUUAGAAACCUUCUUGGUAAGUAGCAACUCAACCGUAGUAAUGCUUCAUGUACAUUAUCGCACAUAGCAGCAAAAUUUCCCAAUCGCUAAGGGGUCCAUUCAUUGUUUCUCUUAAUAUAUAGUAUUUGUUUUUCUGAUUCUAAUGCAGUCAAAUGCACACUUUGUUGCUGCCUGUGCAGCCAAGUGCGUGCGUGUGGAGUUCGUUUUCCUCUACCACGUACAUUGAGGCCAGAUCCCUACGUCGUUGGCUGCCGAUGGUGGCUGAUUUGGAGGCUGCUGCUGUGGAAGUGGAGAGUCAUUGCACUCUAGCUUUGGCAGGGCUGUUGCAAAAGGGGGAGGAUUAUUCUGCGUCUGGCCCAAUAUUAUGUGAGACGAGAGGCCUAAAAGGUUGCACAUAGACUUGCACGAUAUCAAGAGUUGCUAUAGUUUGACGACUAUAUUUUGGAUGUUUUAGUUAAUAGAAGCUAGACCGUCGUAUCUUGUAAAUUGUUGGUGCGUGGUACUCUUUUUCCUUCCGUUGGUUGAAAUUCCCAACAAGGUUUUGAUGAGGCCGCUCUUCAACACCCUAUUGUCUUGUACAUUAUUCUUUGAGUAAAUUGUAGCAAUGGUCCCUGAACUUUACUCAAAUUGGAGUAAUGGUCCCUCAACUAAAAUUCCAUUACCAUUGGUCCCUCAACUUAUCAAAAUUUGUAGCUAUAGUUAUUUUCAUUAAUUUCUUCAAAAUUUUGUCAAAAUAUGUUAGGUUGGAAUAACCAUUUACUUAAUUAGGGUCCCUCAACUUAUCAAAGUGUGUAAUUAUGGUCAUUUUUGUUAACUAUGUAAAUUUUUUUGUCAAAAGGAGUUAUGUUUGAAGGACCAUAGCUACAAUUGGGAUAAAGUUAAGGGACCAUUUCUCCAGUUAAAUUAAAAUUGAGGGACCAAAGGUAAUGGAUUUUUAGUUGAGGGACCAUAGUUGCACGUUUUAAUGAGUUGAAGGACCAAUGGUAAUGAAUUUUUAGUUGAAGGAUCAUUACUUCAAUUUGAGUAAAGUUCAGGGACCAUAGCUACAAUUUACUCUUAUUCUUUCGAUGGUAACAACUAGCACACUUUAAGUUAAAAAGCAAAUUCCUUUUUGGGUUCAGACCCUAAAAAACUUUAAUCUUAGUAAUAGUUGAGGUUUUUGUCAAUUCGUCCCCUCUCUCGAAUUUGAAUGUCGAUUACCUUUCUGAACUUUUAUAAUUACAAGUUUGCCCUCGUACAAUUGCCAAGUGCUAUCCAUAUGACCAGGAUGGAUGAAAAAUAUCAAAAUCUAACACCACCAAAGAAAUUGCUGACUUGACAACGUUUUGACAAGGCAUCCACAUCUAAAUGAUUAUAUGUAGAAAGCAUGAAACAUGCUACGAGUGUUGGUGUUGAAUUCUACGGGGGGGAUAUCAACCGUUUCAAUCUUUAGAGAGGCUAGAGUUUUGGAUUGCUGUGAUUCUCUGAGGUCGUUCCCUUUGGGCAUCUUCCCCAAGCUUUCAACUCUUGGUAUCUAUGGUUGUCAGAAUCUGGAGUCCCUUUAUGUUGAAGGAAGAGCAGUCGAAAAUCUCAGCCAUCUCGACUACCUGUCUCUCCGGAGAUGUCCAAAUCUGGUCUCUUUUCACGACGGAGGAUUGCCCACUCCCCACCUGACUUCCUUUUCAGUCUGGGGAUGCAAGAGUUUGAAGUUGUUGCCGGACGAAAUGCACACCCUCACCGCCCUUCAACAUUUGUGGAUACAAAAUCUUCCAAAUCUGGAGUCACUUGCACAAGGGGGUAUGCCUCGCAACCUACAAGCAUUUUGGAUCGAAAAUUGUGAGAGACUGAGGCCUUCAGAGGAGUGGGGAUUGCAAGGACUUGUCUCUCUUCGAGAAUUUAUAAUCACCAGAAACAAGGACCCGCUGGAGACGUUGCUCAAGGAACAUCUGCUCCCUGCCACUCUUCUCACUCUCAAAAUCUCUCAACUUUCAAAUCUGAAAUCUUUGGACGGGAAGGGACUUGAGCACCCCACUUCUCUUCAACAGCUAGAAAUUUCAUGGUGCCAGAGUCUUGAAUUCCUGCCAAAGGAGGGUUUUCCGGUGUCUCUUUCUUGGUUGAGUGUGGAGAAUUGUCCUUCUCUGAAGAGGAGUUAUCGGAACAAGAAAGGAAAUGAUUGAAGAAACAUAUUUCGCAUUCCUUGCAUAAAGAUAGAUGAUGAAGUCACCAUCCUAUGAGCUUUCAUUCACCUCUCCAACUCUCAACUCUCAACUCUCAAGACGAAGCCAGGUUAUUUCUUAUUUAUUAUUACAUUGAUUGUCCUCAGCAAUAGUCCUACUUAAAUUCAAGUUUCGGAGUCUAAUUCCAAUGAAAUUACAGGAGAAUGCGAGGAGACUGACUUCUUUGUAGUCUGAUACUGUGGAACUACUUGGGGUGGAUGUACAUGAUUCUCCUGCACGAGAAGAGGUAAGCCCUUAGUGAUGGUUUUUCGUACUUCUCCCGUUUGCGCACAACAGUUGAAUAGUGCCUCAUCGCUGUGCCUCAUGGUUGUGCUAUGGAUUUCACCGGUUGAACAUUGCAGAUCAGAUGUAAAUUGUAAUUUACUUUCUCUCACUUUUUCUAUCUUCGGUUUGCCUUUUCUCUAUUGCAUUUCUAUUAGGGAUCAGUCUUUUUCUUUAACAGUUCAUUUCAACUAUAUGCUAAGUCAAGAAAAUGUGAAGGGACUAACAGAUGUAUCGGUUUCAUUGAUGCAUUGAGCAAACAGACUAAACCUGUAAAGAUAGGAUUAUCAAAUGGAGCUCUGGUUUACUGAACUAUCAAGUUUGAAAUCUUUGGAUGGAAAUGGACGUUCAAAACCUACUGGACUCUCAACUCUAUUAAGAGAGCACCGCUUACUGGCACUGCAUGCUAGAAUGCCAGUAUUACUAGACUCGGUGGCUGGCUGCUGCGCCUACAGAUUUCAAUGUAAGCAGUUGAACACUUGAGUGUAAUCUGUUCUUCCUUUAUGUAUCAAUGUAAUUGAACUACGGUACUAUUAUCCUUGAAAUAUGAAUGUUUACCUUCUGUUUAGUUAUUGGAUUGUCUCUUGUAGGCUAACAUGCAUCUUUGUAGAACUUAAGAAUGAUCAGAAAGGCUAAUGACACUACCUACCCAACUGAGAGAACUUAACCUCGAUGAAUUAUUACAAGAGCGGCUAGAUAAACUGCCUGUAAAGUUUUUUCGAAGUCAUUGACUAAAAGGUCGUACCCAGUGCACAAGGCUCCCGCUUUACGCAGGGUCUGGGAGAGGUGAAUGUCGGCUAGCCUUACCCCCAUUUAUGGAGAGGCUGCUCCCAAGUCUCGAACCCGAGACCUACCGCUCAUGGGCGAAGGCACUUGCCAUCGCACCAAGUGCCAUUGAAUAAAAAUGUUAGCUUUUCCUCCAUAUUUCAAAUUCUAGUUUCUCAUUUUCUUUUUUAAUUUUAGAAAUUGUAUUUAGUUUAAAACGCGCCAGAUGCCCUAUAUAUCUAGCAUUUAACUUGUGUUGCUUUGCGUUUUGUAGGAAGCAUUCUGAAAGGUUUAUGAGUGGAAGGUCAUGAACUGUCUUGAGAUCUUGACUGGAGCCGUCUCUUCCUAUGGCACAGAACCUGAGUUUAGGCCUGUUGCGUAUGUGAUUUUGCCGUCUCUUCCUAUGGCACAGAGCUCUGGACUGGAGCCAUCUCUUCCUAUGUGAUUUUGCCGUCAAUGUAUAAUAUGUAUGUGUACUUUGCUAAAUUGUUACCAGCCAAUAACCACAAAUGCCUAUUUCUUGGAUCUUUCAUGAUUGAAUUAUCAAACUUUGUUUUAAUCUGAAAUAUCUUUAACGCUUGGCCUUCAUUUCGUUUUAUUUUGAUAUCAUCUUGGAGAAACUGAAGUCAUUAUAGGAUGAGAAAAAGUCAGGGGCUAGCUCUCUGUCGAAGUACGUUGCAACUCUACGUGAAGUAGCACAACAAAGAAUGCUUCGUUGUCUCUAUUGAGUUCAUUUUCACAGUCAUGUUUGAUGUUCCAUUUUCUAACAUCCUAAUUGGUUCCAGUGUUCUUGUGGGCGAGCAUUCAUCUGUCUUUGGAAGUAAAGGACGAGAAAGCGAUGAAGAAGAUGACACCAGGGACGACGAAGGCAUUGCUGCCUUUAAUUCGUCCUGGUUACCAGGAAAGGAUUCCAAGUAUGGUCUCUCUCUCUCUCUCUCUCUAGAUUGCUAUACAAUUUUACUUUUGGUAUUUGUGUUGUAACAUUAUUAUUGGUUUUUCAGAGCUGAACCACCCAAAGAUGUGAAAAAGAAGAAAAGGAAGCGAAAGACUGAGUGCCAGGACCGAGUAGACAUGGAUGAAGAUAUUGUUCAGGAGUUGGUACUCAGUCUGAAGAAGAAGACGGGUCUUAGCUUACAUAUCAAUUACUACUAGUUGAUUGAAAUUUCAGGACAGUAUCAUCAAAUAUAAUAGCAACCGGUUUUAGCUUACAUAUCAAUUACUACUAGUUGAUUGGUGUGGCGGCAAUCUCUCGCAUAUAUGAUUCACCUUGCAUGGGAUAAAAGUAACUCCUUGUUGAUGUUUUUCUUUCACCGAUGUACUGCUGUGGUUUCCAUAUGGUGGAAUGCUCACUCAUCUUUCAAUGCCUCUGUCAUCUUGAGGUAGGUGUAUACACAUACGUUUCUAUACAAACACAAUGGUUGAAGAGAGCAUGGCUUAUUGGCACCGCUUUCUAGAAUGCCAGUGUUACUCGACUCGGUGGCUGUCUGCUGCCGCGCCUACAGAUUUCAGCGUAAGCAGUUGAACACUUGAGUGUAACUUAUUCUUCCUUUCUGUAGCAGUGUAAUUCAACUAUGCUAUCAGUCAGGACAGCACGAUGGGACUACAUAUAUGUCGGCUUUAUUGAUGCAGAUGGCAACUCUGGAAUUGUAAAGAAAGGAUCAUCUACUGCCAACAAUUUAAACAUGCAUCAAUUAGUUGUCCUUGAAUGGUGCUACUCCAGCUAUCUGGCAUGAAUAUAACUCUCUCCAACUCCCAACUCUCAAGACAAAAGCCAGGUACUUUUUUAUUUAUUUUUAAACUGAUUGUCCUCAGCAAUAUUCCUACUUAAAUUCAAGUUUCAGAGUCUAAUCCCGAUGAAAUUACAGGAGAGUGGCGAGUGGAGUGAAGUAUUUGUAGUCUGAUACUGUGGAACUACUUGGGGUCGAUAUAUAUGAUUCUCCUGCAUGACAAGAGGUAAAACCCUGGAUGAUGGUUUUCUCGUACUUCUCUCGUUUGCGUCAUAACUGUAAUCUUGUGGUAGGUGUGAUGGGACUAACAGAUAUGUUUCUCUACAGACACAACGGUUAAAGUCUUGAAGAGAGCAUGGCUUAUUGGCACUGCUUGCUAGAAUGCUAGUGUUGCUAGCCUAGGUGGCUGGCUGCUUCCCCUACAGAUUUCAGUGUAAGUAGUUGAACACUUGAGUGUAAUUUGUUAUUCUUUUCUGUAACAAGGUAAUUCAACUAUGCAAUCAGUCAGGACAACACGUUGGGACUAACGUAUUUGUCGGCUUUAUUAAUGCAGAUUGCAACUCUGGAAUUGUAAAGAUAGGAUUAUCUACAGCCAACGAUUUAAACAUGCAUCAAUUAGUUGUUAGUGUAUGGUGCUAUCUGGCAUGAAUAUAAGUCUCCUUUAAUCUGAGAGGUGACCCCUGGAAUGAUGUCUUUUCUAAUACUGUUUCUAAUUUGAAUAUGAGAGGCAUGCCUUUUCAUCUGCUCUUGAUGUCAUUCUCAUCUUCUAAUGGGUGCAGAUAUGCUUUUGUACAGACAAGGAGGUUGAACAGCGCGCUUGACACUUUUAGCACUUUCGUCUUGCUUGCGUUUGUUGGUAUUCCAGUAAAUGAUAUUACUAGAAUAAGUGGUUGGCCGGUGUGCUACGGAUUUCACAAGAAUGAUAAUUCUUACGUUAAGCACUGCAUACGAGCUGUAAUUCAGCUUUCCACCACUCUCUUUUGUUAUAAGUUCCAUUUGCUUGUUUUCUAAGAUAAAUGUAUCAGUAAUAAUUUCUUCAUCUUUAAAUUUAGGAGCAUCUUGUUAUGCUGAGGUAUGAAAAAGGAAAUCAGUUGAGUUGGCAUCCCAUUGAAAUGGAUUCAAUCAUUUGAGAGAAAACAUGCUUUUCACAGUUCAAUUCGGAAUGAAACGGUAGAAAGCAUGUGAAGGUAAAGCUCUAUGUUCUUUUCCUACAUUUUCAUCAAAACUCUGCUUCCCCAUACUCUCCUUAAAGAAAAAUAUAUAUCGCAUACUUUAAAUGUAAUUGUGCCUAUUGUUGCCAUCUAUGAACAUCUUAUCUCCUGGAAGUGAUCCAAAGGAACUGAGAGGUUAUAGCAUUCUUCUCGCCAUUGUGGAUUUCAUGAGCAAUCAAGAGAAUAUUCAAAGUUGCAUCUGGACUCGGAGGUUUGUUUUUUCUAUAUAUUAGCAUGUGGUGUCGUGUGACUCGCAUAGCAAGUUAACAGAGGAAGAAAAAAAGUUAUUUGAACAUUGCAGAUUCGCUCACUUUAUAUGUGGGCGAUCAUUUGAUUCGUUAACCGCUCUAGAGGAAAAUGUCGUGGAGAAAUAGACGAUGAUACGCUUAACCCAAGUUUGAUGGGGAAAGUUGGAGCAGCGGGCACUCAAAUUUACAAACCUUCUUCGGGCACUCAAAUUUACAAAUUUACAAACCCAAGUUUGAUGGUAGUGCAUCAUGUCCAUUAUCGCGCAUAGCAAGAAAAUUUCCAGUCGCCAAGGGGUCUAUUCAUUGUUUCUCUUAAUAUGUAGUAUUUGAUUUUCUGAUUCGUAUGCAGCCACACUUUUUGUUGCUGCCUGUGCCCGCGCAGGGGUUCAUUUUUCUGUACCACGUAUGUUUUAGGCCAGAACACCCGAAAAGUCAACGUUGACCGGAGGUCAACGGUCAAACGGGUUUUAGUCUUGAAAUUCGGAUUAGGGUCUAGGCGUAGGUUAAAAAGGGUUAGGACCUAUUGGGUUUUUAGGUCUCUAGGGGUUUUUGGGUUUUUAGAUAAAAAGGCUUAGGGCCUUAGCUAAUUUGGUCCAAAUGCCUUUAACUUAAAACAAUUAAUAAAAUAAAUAAUAAAACUGAAAUGGGUUUUGGGUUGGGCUCGGCAGGAAAGGCCCAAAGGCCUUAGGUUGGUGGGUCGCCGGAUUUCGGUCGGAGAAUUCCCAAGCUCCGAUGGAGCUCAAAACUCAACCAAAACAUGUCAUUCAAUAUACCAAAUUGAAGCCCCGAAGGUAAGGAAUCGAAAUAUACCCUUGGUUCCCAUCAUCGUGGCCGUAGUUGGCUGGAAAAUGGCCUGGAAGGCACGGGUUCGCCGAGAAAACUGGGAUUUCAGCCAGAAUUUCUGGGCAACCUUUAAACAUCAAUAACUUUGUCAAUACUUAACGAAACCAAGUGAUUCAAAACAGAAAUCGUAGCCCUCGAAGAGACGAAGAGAAUGGUACCUAACACGACGUCUAAAUCGCCUUGGUUUGACCGGAAAAUGUCUCGAAAGCCUCGGAGGUCGCCGGAAACUGGGUAAGAUUCAAAUUAGUAUAACUUCUUCGAUACUCAACGAAAUUAGGUGAAACAAAAAGGAAAAUUGUAGUUCUCAGCGAGACGAAGAGAUUGAUACCUUGCACACCGGCCAACUCGCUGUAGUUUGGCCGGAAAUUGGCUCGAAAAACAUCGGUUUCAUCUGGAGAGUGAGCACCGUGACUGUCACGGUGGAGUUCCUAGUUUUGCUUGUGGUUUCGAGGUCCAAGGUCUAGUGUUUGGUGGUUGGGAUGGUAGCUGGGUGUGAUUUUCAGAGAAGGGAUGAAGAGUUGCAGAGGGAGAGGGCACGGGAAAAGGAUAAGGGAGAGAAGAAGAAGAGGGAGAGAAAGAGAAGAGAGUGUUAUAAAAAUCAGAAAAGAAAGAAAAGGGGAAAGGAACCAGGGGACAAAACAGGGGGUGACCUUGGGCACACCAUUUAAGACCCAAAAACCAUUUUAAAAGCAAGAUAAACUCAAACUUAGUGAAAAUACGAUUUAAAUUGGGGGUGGGUGUAACAAUAUGUACUAGCAGUCAUAUUUCAUUCAACAAAAUUUAUUUACAAAAGCAUAUCCAGCGAUAUAAAUUACCAAAAUUGAUCCCUUUCAUGAACGAUAUUAUAAUAUGUGGAUUAGUUGAAUGACGGAUUUUAUUCAUAAUUUUAUUCUCUUGGUCGACUUAGAGUUCAGAUUCAUUCCAAACACGUCAAAUGAAAAUACAAAAUCUUUACUAGGAACUAAAAAUAAAAAAAGAAUAGCUACAACUGUAGUUAUUGUGGGGAUCAAAAUCAAAAUUUUGUGUUUAUCAUUUUCUUUUUGUAUAAAACACCUCAACAAUCAAGGACAUUGUUCGACUCAUUUGAACAAAUAACAGUUUAACAUGUACACAAUGAUAACUUAUUGAAAAUAAGCAGGUAUAAUUCAAUUUGAAUGCUUUUGAUAAACUUUCAGUCCUAGCAUGACCACCACCAAAAUACAGAGUAAAACUAGCAAUAGUUCCAGCGCGAUGCUGCGGGUUUUAAAAUUGUAUAAAGCAUGCAGAAAGUUCUAAAUACACACGAUAUGCAAUACUAUUUACAUACAUAUAGAAACCUAUUUACAAUGAUAUGGACUGGCAGUUCUAUUGUCAUUGUUCUAAUAUUCACAUCUUUUACAAAUUGAACUCCUAAUUGUCCUUAAUCGUAGGAAAUUUUUUGUAUAUAGUAUUUUUUACAGAAAAGAUAAUAUUUGAUGUGUAUUUACAUACUAUUUACACACAAAAGAUUGGGUAGAUAGUCCUUACUGAUAUCCUCAUGAAAUAUCCAGAUAAUCAGCUUAUUUUACCCAAUCAUAACCAAACUCUGUGGUUGUAGCUGACUUUAAGUUGUUAAUGGAACAAAGUACCUGAAGUCGAAGAUAAACCUGGGGAAUGUAGAAAUCUUCAAGCCUUAAACAAAUUGGCCUUGCUUUUUGCAACAAAACAAUCCUUUUAUUACAAAAAAUUACAGGAAAAACUUUUAAAAGUGGAAAUAAAAUUAAGUCAAAUGAUUAGGGAACCAGAAGUUUAGUGAACCAUACAUAGAAAUAAAAUUUAAAUUUGAAAUAAAAAAAAGAAAAAGCAAUCUCAGAUACACACAGCAUGACAAUUUUACACAUACAAAAGCGAAACAAAAUUAUCAAAGCAAAUAAUAACAUGAAAUUGAAGAUUCAUUAACAAUUUAUUAAGCAUAUAUAGGUACACCCAACAGAUAAUCUUAUUUAAUCACACCAUUUUAAUUUAUCAAACUGAUUAUUUAAUACUGUCAUGCACGACAAUAUUUUACCAUAAUGAACUCUGACAAUACCCUCUCAUCCCAGUCGCAUUUUUUGUUAAAAUUUUGACCAUAAGUGUAAUAUCUUUUCACUGUUUUCAAAUCUUGACGAAACUCUGAAGACACAAACAACAACACUCAACUCCUUUUUCAACCCGGUAACCAGUUUACACAAAUAAGAAUGUAGCAUUUUUAUUAAAGCAUGUAAUUCUCCUCUUCCUAUAUUCUUCCCCUUUCUCUAACCAAAUAAAAAUUUCCAAAACUAUAUGCGAAAUUUUUUUAUAAAAAAUGAUACAUAAUUAAAGCAAACAAAGAAAAAUAAAUGAAAACUAUUUUGUGAGAUUGUAUUACUUUGUUAACAACCAGCAGCAAAAUGUUUCAUCUUUUCAUCAAUUAAUAAAUCAGUAAACAAAUGACUAAACUUUCUUAAUCACAAAAGGCUAAAAGCAAAAAACAAAAAUCACUCACCUUAAUAAUAAAGCACUUUGAACAGUUGCAUCAUCUCAUUGUUUAGAAACUUUAGUGAUUACAAAUCUGGAAAACAAACACUUCCAAAAUUUCAAACAAAAACAUAAAUGCUUUUCACACUUGCACACACACACACGUGCCUAUUCUGAAUUCAUAAAAGAGAACAAAAAUUAUAGGAUUCAUGCCAAUAUAGGGAUCUGCUGCAUAUCAUGCUUCAGGAUAGCCAUAAUUUGCAUUAUAACCUACAACUUUAGAGGAAAUUAAAAGGCAAAAUCAAGCCAAACCAACAAUUCCCCCAUUAACUCGAAGAAUGAUUAUCCAUUUUUAAAUGGGAGUUUUAACGAAAAGCCCACGGUACUGUUCACUUUAACGAAAAACCACAUUUUUACACUAAAAAGUCAAACCUGGUACUAUUCACUUUACCCUUUAUUUUGUCCUUAUCAUUAAAACUCAAAGUUUUCAAGCCCUUUUCAUUAGUUUUCCUUUUUUAAAUAAGUGUGCAAUCCAAUCAAACCCAACAACCAUCCAAAGCAAAUUACACAAAAUUAACAGAUGUCCAAGCAUUGAAAGAAUCACCAAAAAGACAUGCACUCUGAAAAAGAACAAAACUUACAGGGCCUUUAUGUCUUGUGAGAUGUCCAACAGAAGCACUUAAUAGUAAAAUAUUAGUAUCAUCGUUGAUAACUCUCUUCUAUUUUAUGUUAUGAGCUUUCCAUUUAUUACCCAUUUCUUGGGUAAAUUUACCCAAUUAUAUUCGAAAGCAUGAGACAUAAUAGUAAAACACAAAAACAAAUUCAGAAGAAAUCAGAAGAUGCAGAACUAUUAAAAAUUCCAACAUUUAUUAACAACUAUUUAGUAAGGAUAAAAAAAUCAUGCUAUCAAAUAAAUUUGAAAAAAACAAAACAAAACAAAAUUUAAGUUGAAUAGAGAGGUGAUACUUGCUUACCCAGAAAUCCAAACCAAAUCCCCAAAAAUUUAAGUUGAAUAGAUGAUAGCAACAAACUCCGAUCUCCAUCUUCUUCCAAAUCCAAAAGAACCAAAACCCAUACAGAAAAUCUCAAGGAUGGGCAAGAAUUGCUGAGAAAAAUUCAAAAAAAUUGGACAUAGAUGGUGCUUUUUGCUGAAAAAUUAAAAAAAAAAGACAAAAAAGAGGAAAAUACUCAAUCUUUUCAAAUAGAAUCAGAGUUGAGUUUUUGUACCGAUAUGAACGUUUUCAGGAAUCGUGGAAUGAAAGCUGAGGUAUGGAUGAAUUGGUGGUUGUUCUUCCUCCCCAACUCCUCCAUAACUCCCAGAAGAGAAAUAUUCAUACAAACUCUUUCCAGCAGCAGCUGCAAAAAAAAAAAAAAAUUUAAUUUAAAAACAAAAUCCAAAAACAGAGCAAACAGGUUGGGUCACUCUCGAGUUUAGGUGCGAGCUUAUCCCUAACCUUCUCACAAUAUGCAAAAACUAAUCAGAGAUUUCAGAAAAUACACUACCUGAUUACCUGCUAUUGGAAACAAAUAAUAAAUAUACAGGGAAUUUUAAAAUAAUUCAACUGCAGGCAAUUUAACUGAAAUUUGUAAAGAAAAAAAAGAACUCAAAAUCUUAGUAAAAUUAAGAGCAAAAAUUAUUAACCACACAAUGAAAUUUAAUAAAAAUAAAUUACUUAAAUUAAAACCCAAAUUCCAGAAAUGAAGAAAAAUGGAACCUUAAUAUGGAAACUGAAGCUUUACCUGCAGAUCGACAACAGCGGCAGGUACCUCAAGAAUGAAAGAGACAGAGCUGGAGAUGCGUGAGAGAACAGGGGAGGAGUGUUUGGCGAUCCAUAACUUUGUGUAAACCUUGAGGACCUCGUAGAAAUACGCCCGGUACUCGUACCUGAACAAAAUUAAAAAAUUGAAAUUAAGAAAUAAUUGUUUGGAAAUUAGGGUUUAGGAUGAGAAAUGGGGAGAAUUUGAAGAACCUGCAACAGUGGUAAUAUGGGAGCCCUCUGAUUUUAAAGAAUCAAUGGGGAGCUCUCCCCGACUGCAGAAUUAGAUUUUCACCCUCAAAUAUGGUGUAAUUUGAGACCAGUAGAAUCACUUCAACCGAGAUUUGAAAGCGAAAAAGAGCGAUAGAAGCAGAUUUCUUGACUGAGAUCGCAGCGUCGGAGAGCGAGAGAAAGCGAGAGAGACAGAAGCAGCGAUUUGUGAGAAAGAAAAGCGGAAACGGAAGGAAAAAGUCGAAGCAGUCGACGCACAGCGAUGAUCGACGCGUGGAUCGAUGGGCAAAACAAACUUUUCACUGCACCAAAAGAGGAAACAGCAAGGAAACAGAGGAAAAACAAAGGGCAUUUUAGACAUUUCACUGUUUAUGAACAGUGCAAAACAGUGCCAUCCGAACUGAGUUUUAGUACAUGUAUAACUAGAAAUAGUGCCCGCGCGUUGCUGCGGGAUUACAAAACGUGUGAGCAUAAUAUAUAAAGAUAUUUAAAGAAUGAUGAAGUUUGAAUCAAGGGUGUAUAAGGGCUUGUGAAAAUGAUGACAUUCAAACAAAACUCUGUAUAAAAGUAAAGGAAUAGAAAAAGAGAAAUAUGACACAUACCAUUUGUUUGGUGUUAACCAAUGUGAUUCAAGAAUGUCCAUUACGACAAUAGAAAUUGAGGAUCAGAAAGAAUUAGACAAAAUCACAUAUUUGAAAUCAAAGAUCGAAGCUGCCUAAAUACCAAACUAUUCAUUAAAAAUACUGAAAACUUAAAAAUUAGAUAAGUACAUCAGUGAGUUUUGUAAGAUCAUCUAUGUUGAAAACGUUUAGAACUAAAUUUAUUAAAGUAACUGAUAUAUUGUGAUAGAGCAUGAGAGAAACAACAUAAAUACAAAUUGGAUAUAAUAAGGUAUAAUUGUUUGGUGACGUAAGAAAAAGUAUUGGUUGAUUCUAAAGAAAGUGAAAUAUGUUAAAAUUAAAGUAAUUGAAAAGGAAGUGUCAUUGAAUGAAACUGAAAAUUAGUAAAGUUAUUAGAUUUUUUACUUCAAAAUUUGAUGUCAUUGUUUAGGUAUUUUGGUGUAAAUGGCAGAAUUCAAUCAAACAGGUUUAAAAGUGAUAUGAUACGGGAAAAAAGAUGGAUCAGAUAUAUCUAGUUCGGUGGCUAUUAAUUAAAACAAACAAUACCAUAGUUCACCAAUGUGACAGAGAUUAAUGUGUGUGCAAGAUUAGGGAUGAGUGUAGACGCACUUACGCUACCAAAAAAUCUAAGCAGAAUUGAUUAUUGACUUUAACAACUAAAAUCAGAAACAACUUUUCAAAAAUAAAUCAAGACCAUGGGCACAAUUUGUCAAUGAAAUGAUUUUAAGUCAUACGUUUACAGGUAGGAGAUAGCAGAUAUUUGUAUUGCAUAUCUUAGCAGAAUAAGUGGAUAUCAAGGAGAAUUAGAUUAUUCAAUUUCGAUACAAAGAAAAUGAAUUAAAGCAGGAACAACAUUUGUGCACAUUGAGAAUGAAAUUAACUAAUUAACUUACUAACCCCUACUGCAAUUUUCACACCUAUGCUCAAAACAGAUUUUGUAACCAAUAUCCCAAAAAAGGGGCAAAAGGAAAGAAAAAAAAACCUUUGUAUGGUAUACUGCAGCGUUAUCUGUGUAACCGAACUCAACCCAGCAACCUCCUUGUACACUUGGAAAACCUGAAAAACAUAAAUAGACGCUAGAACAACAUUGUGACAGAGUGAAUGCAGAAAUUGAUAAUUAUUUGAGAUGUUUUAUUUUAAAUAAAUGAAAAACCAAUUAAAACUGAAUUAACAUGUGGUUUUCAUACGGAAUAAAUGAUGGCCUUUGUGUGAUGCUUGCAAAGAAUCUCUUUUUCAUCCUGCAUAUACAAAAAGAAGAUAGUGACUAUGUUUAGCACUAAUCAGAAAAUUAUAGAUAAAUAGCAUUGUACAUGUUUUUCAAUCAUAGCUUGAGAUCAAUCUCAUUCGAUUAUUCUAUUGCUGACUAAAAAAAUUAGAACACCACAGAGAAUAAGCAUGUGUCCUCACGUACAAAACACCACUGCUAUCGAUAAAAGAAAAGUCGAUUCACUAACAAAACUCAACAAUAAACAAAGCUGUUAAAAUAUUAGGAAUAAUGGAAUUAAAACAUGCAUUAAUCGAUUAGUUCCCUGCUUUAUUUAAAUAGGAAAUCCAUAUACAAUUAGGAAGGAAUGAAAGCAGGGAAUACAUACCCAAACCAACAGUAGCCUUCGAACUCCUGUUAAAUCUCAGAUUUAUCAGCGGAGUAAACCAAAUGCAAAAUCUGCUCUUAGCCGACAAAGCCUCGACAAACUGCCACAACUCAGCAUAAAAUCAAACUGUUAGGGUUUCGUUCAAAUCAAAGCAAAUUCGAAAUAACAACUCUCAUAUAAGGGUUGCUGAACUUACCUGAGUUAAAUAAAAAAAAAUUACGAUGAUCUGAACAAAGAUCGCACCCAGACCGGACCAAAAAUUGGUCGGAAAGCCGAUGACAAUUGGGGAGAAACGAUUUACAGAGAUGCAAAACUUGUCUCAAAACAGAGAACCCAAACAAACUCCCCAAAAAAAAAGAACACGACGAUCUUUGCGAUGAAUAUUUUGCAAGACGAAAAACACAGGAUUUCAGACGAAAUGAAGGCGAUACCAAGAUGGAGAGAAGCAGAGAUUGCCGACACACAAAAGGCAAAGCAAAUGGUAAACCAACGAAAACCUAUUCGACACAAAGCAAAUGGUAAACCAACGAAAACCUAUUCGACGCAUAAACUGAACGAUGACAGACGCGUGGCCAUGAGGGCCAAAACGGACUUUUCACUGCACAAAAUAGCAAAAGACAACUGCAAGCAAAGAAGAAUCCGAGGGCAGUUUCGCCCUUUCACUGCUGGUGAACAGUGCCGGGGGAAACUGGAUUUUAGUAUAUACUAGAAAAUAAGCCCGCGCGUUGCAGCGGGAACCACUGUUUCAAGCGUAACUGCAUGAAUAAGACACGUUUAACCUGAAUAAAUUCAACACAAUCAUAAAUGAACAGAGAGGCAUGAGUGAAUGAGGCCAAUAAGAAACGGUUUUGCUUUUAUACACAUUUAACCUGAAUAAAUUCAACACAAUUACGAACAAACAAAUGGAUACAUAAGCGAAUAAGGCCAGUAAGAAGCGGUUUUGCUUUUAUACACAUUUAAGUGAGUUGGCAUAUAAACACAUUGUACAAUGAGUGGGAAAAAACUGUACGUGUUUGAUUAGAAAGAGAUGGUUUUCAAAAAAUAACAUUAAGUUCACACAUAAUAUGUGUUCUGCAUUGUAAGCAGCUAUUUGAACAGGUAAUUUAAAACAGAAAGUGUUGAGGACUUGUUUAAGUAGCUAAUUUCAGAACCACAACUGUUCAAAGGCAAAAAAACAGAAUUGUCCGUUUCCAUAUGAAACUGAAGAAACAGAAGCAAGCUGGAGUUUACACAUAUUUUGCGCCUGCAGUUAAGACGGCAAAAUAUAUGCUCUGCAACCUACAUACCUCACUUAGUAGUUGGCAAAACACAGAAAAAGUGGUGUUUGAGCAGGUAAGUCGUCAACCAUAGAUGUUCACUCAUGGCCUACUUUUAUUCAAGUUCAUGCAAAGAAAAUUGGUCUUUUAACAUGCUCUUUUCUAAAUUUUAAAAAGAAUAGUAAUUUUGUAAAUAAAUUCAAAUCCCAAAUUGAAAUUGCAGUAUAACCAAGCCACAAUUUAUCACAUGGUUUUUUAUCCUAGCCAUAAUUAGACUAAUGUGAUUUAUACCUAUAGAAUAAUGUGCUUUUUCACAUGCUUUAUUCUCUCAAAAUUUAUAGAAAUAUGAAAAUGAUCAUCACAAAUUUCAAAACCUGCAUUAACCAAAAUUAAAAGGAAAUGGACACCAUGAGUGCUUGCAAGAUGAGAGAAGGGAAACAAAAAGGAAAUGGUGCAUUUGAACAGAAUGAUGAUAAUUUAAAACUUUAAUUAUGAAAAUGCUUAAUUUUCAUGUGUUAAAUGAAUGAGGAUAUCUUAAAACUUUAAUUAACCGGAAUGAUCAGGAUCUUUUAAAACCUGUUAAAAAAACACCAUAAAUGAAUGAGGAUAUCUUAAAACUUUAAUUAAGAACUUCGAUCAGAUUAUAGGAUUUUGAAAAAUAGUCAAUACCAUCUGAAACGAAAUUCCACAUUUCUCAAAAAAUUAUGAAAACAAUCUUGUUUGAGUUCCAUGAAUAUUCCUAGUAUCCAAAUAGCAUGUAAAUUUUCCGAGCAUCCAAAUAAUUGGUCAAAAGCUCAAAAAUCCAAACAAACAAUUAAAACCAAAUCCUCAAAUGUUUGGUUGGAAUGAAGAGAUUUAGGGGGGAUUGAAAUUCGAAAAGAAAAUUUUACAUCCAAUCCACCCACUACAACCCCUGGCAUGAAACUAAAUCCCACACCUACUCAAAAGACACAAAGUAGAAAAUUACUCAAUUUCAAAAUCCAAAUCAGAAAAUAAAACCUCACCGUUGCUGUCGCUCAGCUCUUCAUCCCGCAUAUCUUCUCCUCAUAUUAUGAUAAAAUACCUCUCUUCAAGUUUGGCCUCAGAUAGUUGGUCCAUCUCAGGCUGCAACUUUUCCAAACCUUAAUAAUCCUGCAAUUCAAACCAACCCACUACAAUCAUAAUCAGUUUUUCCAGACCUUAAUAAUCCUGCAAUUCAGACCAACCCACUACAACCAUAAUCAGUGAAUUGUUGACAUUAAAACAUAUGAAAUUACAGCCCAUUUGAUAGAAGAUUAAGAUUUUCAUUGUUUUAAUAGAAACACCGAAAAAUGAACAUUUCACAGCGAAGAACUAAUUUCUCAUUAUUUAAAAAUUAGUCAUCAAAUUUCAUAAAUAAAAUUAAAAAAAAAACCCCAAAAGAAUGCAAAAAAUUGGAACCUUUGGGUGAGCAAAUAGAAGACAUCGCCCUCAUUCCACAUAUUUCCAUUGUGCUACAAAUUCACUACUAAAUAGCAAAAAAUUCAAGUUUGCUAGUCAUAAUAUAUCUCAAAAAUUAACUCCUAAAAGUAAUAAGAAAAGAAAAAACACUAAAAUUGACAAGGAAGAAAAGUUAAAUUGAUUACUGUUUGUUAGUCAUUUGAAAUAUCCAAGUGUCAAAUUCUAAUUCUCUAUAACCGAUGAGCCAUAUUGAGCUCAUUUGUGCACUCGAUACAACCUAUGAGCCACAUUGAGCUCAUUUGAAAUAUCCAAGUCACAAAUCCCCCCCACCCCACGAGGCCCAUAUAUAAAGUGACAGUUUAUCUUCGGAGUCUCAAGAACACGGCCCUUGACCUGAGUCAAGUCCUUAUUUAUAGAAAUACCACAUGUAGCAAGCACAGGAUCAUUAUCAUACUGAUAUUUUUUCACAGCCAGGAAUAGUAAAUCAUAUGAGCAAGAAGAAUUAUUGCAACAUGUGGUAAAGAAACUAAACCUUUGAUGACCUGCAAAACUAUAUCAGUCACAGUUCUUAUUCUUUCCUGAGGCUUCUGCCUUGAUUUUUCAACUAAGGAUGCCCUCUGCUUUGAAGAUAAUGCUUUUGUAUACCUUUGAAGCGAAACUAAUGAACAAAGCUAAAACACCAAGAGAAACCCCAUGGGGAAGCACAAAUCUGGAUAUCAGACAGAGGAGUUCCAAAAAGAUAAGACUAAGAGUCUAAGAAAGAAUGAUAUGAUAAUCAAAAGAAACUGACAUACCUCCAGAGGCAGAUGGUUAGGCCCUUUGGGCUUGCCAUUGAUCAAAACCCUAAAUAAUCAAACCAAACCAUUGCAUAGAGUUUCCAAAAUACCUUUAUCUUAGUGCCAGAAGGAGAACCCUAAAAUUAUAGCUUAACUAAUUGAAAGAAGUAGAAAUAAAAAUACUCGAUACUUGGUCAUGGUUUCAACUGAAUAAUAGCCAUGGUCCACAUAAUCUCCCUUAAACAAAUAGUUUGUAUCAGGGCACUGCAAAAAAAUUGCAACAGGAAAUUAUUGUUAUUUUUGGAAAGUGAAACAUCCAACAGAACAAACCAGAAAACUACAAAAUAAGAAAGAGAAAACAUCACCAAUAAGUAGCAACCAAUUAACAACCUUGAAGAACACAUACGAUAAAUUAAAUAGCCCAAAUCAGAAUAAUGCCUUUUCUCCAAUGCGGAAAAGCUUCGCCAGAUCAUGGAAUUGUCCAUGAAUAUCACCACAGAGAGUUACCGGGCUUUUUACAGGCUGCAACACAUAAAACCCAAAAUGGUUAUUCAUUUACCUUCAUGACAUGCCCAAAUCUUUAUAGGUCCAAAACCUGUAUGAAACAAUACAAAGAAAGACAUGAAACAGAAACUUGCAACUAAAAGGGCCCACCUGGACAUUGCUUUCUUCCAUUAAUAUUUCCUUGGCCUUCUGGCAGAGCACUCUUACCUUAUUAAACAAACAAAUUAAGAUGAAAAUUAUUUACAUCAUUGAAUGAAAAAGAAACUCCGAAGAAACCAUAAUAUAAAAAAGGUCCUUUAACAAACAUUAAAUUGAACAUGCUUGCAUUUCAAUAACAGAUUUCCGUUUUCUUGCUCAUUAGCGAUUUCAAAAAGCAAUUAUUUUGGUCCUAUUCUGUAUAACAUUGUAUAGGCUGGUGUACCAUAGAACAUAGCCAAUGUUCUGAAAUCCAAGAAGCACCAUAGCAACUCGGUUUUGAAGCUAACACUCUUAUAAAGUAUGCUAUCAGCCUAGCAUACCCACACAACCCUCCAUCCAUCCCCAAGAAAUAUUGAUAUGCUUACAUGCACUAUAAAGCAUAUACACAGCGUGCAGAUUAUUUGGCAAAUCAAAAGUUGUAUAGAGUUUCCUGCAACAAUGGAACGUAAACUAAGGAGGUUUCACAUUACUGAUUUCAGUACUGUCCAGAAAAGGGAAAAUUCAAGGUAUCUCCUUAACAAUGUAUUACAAUGUUCCCAUUUAGCCAAAACCAGACUCAAAUACUGCGCUCCACGAAGUCUCUGUUAAUCAUAACUCUGCAAAGGUCCAUAAAUCUGUUGAAAGAUUCGGUUUUUAUGGCCUUGGACUCGGACACCAAAAAUUCGUUUUUCCUGUUUCACAAAUCCCAAAGGCGGAAACCUGCAGUGUCACAGAAAAUGGGAUCUGACCCACAUUGCCAAUACCCAACCCUAACAGCAGAACACAUAGUUAUAACCACCAAGUUCAUGCAUUUCUUUAGAAUUUUUAACCCAGUGGUAAAUCCAAUAGAAGGUCGAAAACCCACAUCAAUGGUACAUUCAAUUUAAAAGUUGAGAAAUCUAACCCACUUAUCUAUUGUAUUAAACCUUAAAGACACCUCCACCUUCUAACUUAAAAGCUUAGUCAACAUACCACCUCCUAAUAUAAACACUUGCUUAUAAAUAUGACUUAUAAAUAGUUUUGACAUUAAACAAAAGAAAAUGCUUAGGAAAAUCAAAUUUAACAGAGGUCCAUUCCUGUAGCAGGGAUCACUCACAUAGGCCAAACGUAUACCAUAUCCCAAAUCCCACCUAGAAACACACCAAAAAAUUGGAAUGAUUUUAUUCUAAACAAAAGGCCAAAUGUUAAGCAUUAACUAAUGAGAAUUAAAAUUUGUAUAAACUCAAGAAUUCAAAGUUUCAAACGUGAUGACUAAAGAUGUGAUUUAGAGUCUAGACAGAACCAGAUGUUAGUAUCGGCUCUAUUGUACCAGAUUACUCUCUCAGUCUAAAGCCCAAUCAAGUGCCAACUUAGCCCAACUUCCCAUUCGAAGCUGUUUCCAAUUGAUUAUCCACCAUAAAAUGUUUUAAUUCAUUGCUGACAUGCUGCAAACAAAUCGGGAUUCAGAAAGUUGAUUGUUUGCUAGUGCUCUAGUAAAUUGGAAGACACAAUCAUUCUACUUUAGUCUACUGGCUUAAUAAAUUAUUGAUUGAUUACAAUCAAACAAAUUGGAAAACACAAUCAUUAGCUAGUGCUCUAGUAAAGCUUGUGUUCUGUUGACCCGUAAGAAACGCCAAUUACAACAAAAAACUCAUGACCUUAAGGCAGUAGCUCUCAUGUGGAUUAAAUAAUUCGAACCAAAAAUUAAUAUAUUUUAUUUUCAAACAUUUUUCUCAUAACUGAAAUGAUGAAAGCGGUGCGCGCAUCUCUAUCUUUCAGUAUAUUCAGCUCAACUACCUUCAAGUUAAAAAUGAGAUUGUGAAUGCAUGAACCUUUAUAAUCUGUAUAAAUUUGUUAUUAAGCAUUUACUGAUAGCCAGGUAGUAGGUAUCAAUCCAGUUUCCUGUUGUGUGAUAGAACCUUAACUCUUCGGUUGAAUUAACAUGCAUACUGCUGCCAGAAUGCAUUACUAAGUGUAUAUUAAUCCAGUCAAAUCAAUUAGGAUAUCAAGAAAGAUGACAACAAAAUAAAACAUGGCUACUCUCAUACAAUGAUGAAGAUGAAUUUAAACGAUUCAAUCCUACUACAAAUGAAAAUCCCUAUAGAGGAAUUUCAGCACAGAUUUGCAUAUGCAUUGAAAAUGAAGAUUUCAGAAAAUGAAACAUAAAAGGAUUGAAAAUUCUCGAAAAAGAAAAAGGACUUACAGUGACGGACAGCGGAGAACAGAGAUGGACAGUGUAGGCAAAGUUUUGGUAGCUGGGUGAAAACAAAAGCAACCACUAAUACAAUCAAGUAAAUUAAAUGCAAACCAAGAACAUGUAGAAUUAUAACAAUAAAUUUAAUUUGACAGAUAAUUUUCUUGCUGAAAAACUUUGAUCUGCAAAACCAAAUAACAUUUUUCAACAAAAAAAGAACUAAUUUAACAAAGCAAAUACAGUAUACGAAAAAUAGCUAUUCAAGAAUCAGAAAAACCUAAAAAUAUCCGAAAGGAUCCCAAAUUUUGGAACUGCUUUAAACCAACCUGCCAUGAAAUUGGGUCCACUGCGCUCGCCAUUUCCCACUUCCUCCGAUCGUUUUUGAUAAAAGAAAAUUUUAAAAAUUGUCAAUUUUCAGAUAUUAAUUGGAAAAGUAAGCGCAGAAUUGGCAUAGUCCGCACCUUCACACCUCGUUUCUGCGGUUGAAUGAGUUCUCUCGGCCGAACAUACAGAGUGAGAAUGGCGAGCGGUCAAGGAGUUCGCGACUGGCGAGACUGAGAAUGGCGAGAGAGAAUCGGUGAGGGAUUUGAGAGAAAUUACAGAGUGAGAGAAGGGAAGGAUGGGGGGAUUUGAUGGACGUUUACGGAGAGAGACGGGAGAGAAAAAGAGGGAAUGAAAGAGGGGAUGGAACGGACGGAAAAGUACUGCACGAUGAUUGAAACGUGGGCGCUCUUCCACUGUGCGGUGGCAAUUUCGUAAAUAAAUAGAAAUUCCAAUCUGAACAGCAGUCAAGGGGCGGUGGCAAUUUUGCAAAUAAAGUGAAAUUCAGGUACAAUGAACAGUAAAAAACAGUGCCAAUUGCAAUGCUUUCUUUAGACUAAAGUAGUAAUGAUGUCAUCCAACUGACAUAAUAUUCUUUUACCCUCUACUGAAAUUUCAUCGAAGCACCUCCACCAAAUACCACUUUGUUUGCCGUGUGUGGUCCACUGCAUUAUUGACCAAAGAAUAGCAAGUCGUCUCACUUAUCUUGAAGUAAGUUGAGCCACAUAAUAAUCUUAACAGGCUUUGCUAGUUCUUUACUUGAAUUUCACAAAGAAUUUUCAGUUUUUCAACUUCAAAUACUCGAUCAAAAUUAGUCCUUUUGCCAAGAAGAGAAAAUGGCUUUGGUUGGAGAGGCUUUGCUGUCCGGUUCUAUCCAGGUGAUGUGCGAAAAAAUUGCUUCGGGAGAGUUCGUGGACUUCUUCCGAGCAAGAAGACUCAACCAUUCACUCAUGGACAAACUGAAGGUGACAUUGAAUACACUUCAAGCAGUGCUCAACGACGCAGAGGAGAAGCAAAUUGUCAACCCUGCAGUCGGGGUGUGGCUUAACGAUCUCAAAGAUGCUGUGUUCGAUGCGGAGGACCUGGUGGAUGAGAUCGAUACUGAAGCUCUGCGUCACAAGGUGGAAGAUCAGACUAAGAAAACCCAGGUGUUGAACUUCCUCUCUACCUCUCGUAAUCCUUUUAAUUAUAAAGGCAUGAAUGGUAGGAUAGAGGAGUUAUUUCAGAGGUUAGAACACCUUGCAGAACAGCGAAAUCGCCUUGGUCUUAGAGAAGGUAUUGGGCACAUGGUUUCACAAAGAACUCCCACAACUUCUGUAGUUGAAGAAGGAUUUUGUCCCUAUGGUAGGGAUAAGGAUAAAGAAAGUUUAAAAACACUACUGCUGCUAUCUGACAAUGAAAGUAGCAGUAAUUUCUCUGUAGUGCCAAUAGUCGGGAUGGGCGGGGUUGGUAAGACAACCCUUGCUCAACUCCUUUACAAUGAUGAACAAGUUAAGGAGCAUUUUGACGUUCAUGCUUGGGUUUGUGUUUCCGAACAGUACGAUGCUUUGAGGGUGAUUAAGACCCUUAUUGAGCAAAUCACUGAGAAAUCUUGCGAUAUCUUAGAUAUGCAUUCCCUUGAAAUUCAACCAAGGGAACAAGCAAGGGAUAUCUCAGAUAUGCAUUCCCUUGAAAUUCUACUAAGGGAACAACUAAGGAGGGAACAAGUGAGGGAUGUCUCCGAUAUGAAUUCCCUUGAAAUUCGACUAAGGGAGCAAGUAAGGGGAAAGACAUUUUUAUUUGUCCUAGAUGACCUUUGGAAUGAGAGCUAUGAUGAGUGGGAUCGUCUACGAACUCUUUUCACUUAUGGGGCGAAGGGAAGUAAGGUCAUUGUAACAACAAGGAGUAGACAUGUUGCAUCCAUCGUGCACAAUACUAUUCCAAUAUAUGACUUGGAAAAAUUGUCGGACGAUGAUUGCUGGUUGUUAUUGGCAAAACAUGCAUUUAGAAAUGAAAACUCCAUUGCACAUCCUAAAUUGGAAGAAGUUGGUAAGAAAAUUGCACUCAAGUGCAACGGUUUGCCUUUAGCUUCAAAAACACUAGGGGGUCUCUUAGGUUGCAACCUAGACUACAAGAAAUGGAAUCACAUAUUGGAUAGCAAUCUUUGGGAUCUACCACAUGCUAAUAGUGUUCUUCCUUCUCUAAGGUUGAGUUACCAUUAUCUUCCAACUAACUUGAAACGAUGCUUUGCUUAUUGCUCAAUUUUUCCAAAGGGCUAUGAAAUGGAAAAGGAAAAUGUAAUUCUACUAUGGGUGGCAGAAGGUUUAAUUCCACAAUCAAAGAGUGGGAAUACACUAGAGGAGGUUGGUGAAAGAUACAUUGACGAACUGUUAUCGCGAUCACUGUUUCAAAGACCAAGAUUGGAUCAACCAAGAUUCACUAUGCAUGAUCUCAUUAAUGACUUGGCUAUGUUUGUGUCUGGAGAGUUUUGUUUUAGGUUGGAUGUUGAACAUUCACAUGAAGCUCGUAAAAGAGUUCGCCACUUCUCGUAUGUGAGAGGGAAAUUUGAUACAUCUUCAAAAUUUCAGCCAUUAAAUGGAGUGAAGUAUUUGCACACAUUCUUUCCAAUGUCUUUAACACCAUAUGACACAAGGGAUGACAAAGUAUAUGUAAGCAAUAAGGUUCAAGAUGAUUUUCUGCCAACACAAAAAUAUUUACGGGUAAUAUCAUUGUCAAGAUAUCGAAAUAUCACUCACUUACCUGAUUCCAUUGGUAAUCACAUACACUUGCGCUACAUUGAUCUCUCUUAUACGGCAAUUAAAAGGUUACCCGAUACAGUGUGUACCCUCUACAAUUUACAAACUCUGUUGUUGUUAGGUUGUUCUUCCCUUGCUAAAUUGCCUGCAGACAUGAGUAAAUUGAUUCAUUUGCGUCAUCUUGAUAUUGGUGGAACUCGCAUAAAAAAGAUGCCUGUGCAUAUGCGUAGAUUAAAAAGUUUGAGAACAUUGACAACUUUUGUGUUGGGGAAAUCUACUGGGUCAAGCAUUGCAGAGCUGAGGGAGUUGUCGCACAUUCGAGGAAAAAUUUGUAUCUUGAAUCUUCAAAAUGUAGUCGGUGCUAUUGAUGUCUUGCUGAAGGAUAAGAAAGAUCUUAAUGAGGUAGAGUUGGCAUGGGGUGAUGAGGUUUCCGAUGAUUCGGUAAAAGAGAGAUAUGUGCUCGAAAGACUUCAACCUUCGGUAAAUUUGGUGAAGCUAACCAUCAAGUGUUAUGGCGGAUUCAGUUUCCCAAAUUGGGUGGGAGACUCGUCAUUCUCCAACUUACAAGUGAUGCGUCUCAGUGACUUUGGUAAUUGCAGUUCAUUGCCACCAGUUGGUCAGCUACCUGCUCUGAAAGAGCUCUACGUAGAAAGGAUGAAAGUGGUUACGAGUGUUGGUGUUGAGUUGUACGGGGGAAAUCAACCAUUUCAAUGUUUAGAGAAGCUAGAGUUUUCAAGUAUGCCAGAGUGGGAGGAAUGGCUGCCUAGUCCAAGUGGAGGUGAAAGUCCAGACUUUCCUCGUCUUAAGGAGCUGAGGUUACGCCAAUGUCCGAAGCUGAGAGGAAACUUGCCCACUCAUCUUCCUUCCUUGGAGAUACUUAGGGUCUAUCAAUGUGAGGUACUACAUUUGCCGACGGAGACGCUGCCGUGGCUUCAGGUGCUUGGUACUAAUUUUAAUGGCGGGACAGAGUGGUUGCCGCAAAUGGUGCACAACAGCAAUCGUCUUCAAAGUUUGGUUCUUUAUAAUUGUUCCUCACGCUUGUCGUUCCCAACAAAUGGUCUACCCACCACGCUGACGUCACUCCGAAUUGAAUUCUGCGAGAAAUUAGAAUUCCUAUCACGUGAGAUGAUGGCCAAAUUGACUUCCCUUCGGUCUUUGCAUCUAAAAGAGAGCUGUGAUUCUCUGAGGUCCUUCCCUUUGGGCCUUUUCCCCAAACUUUCAUCUCUUGAAAUAUGGGGUUGUCGGAAUUUGGAAUCUCUUUCAGUUGGAGGAGGAGCAGAUGAAAAUCUCAGCCAUCUCAACUCCCUGAUUAUUUGGGCAUGUCCCAAUCUUGUCUCUUUUCCCGACGGGGGAUUGCCCACUCCCAACCUCACUUCCUUUCAAGUCUUCGACUGCGAGAAUUUGAAGUUGUUGCCGGACCGCAUGCACACCCUCACCGCACUUCAACGUUUGGAGAUAGGAUUUCUUCCAAAUGUGGUGUCAUUUGCACAAGGGGGUUUGCCUCCCAACCUACAAUCAUUUGGGAUCCAAUUAUGUGAGAGACUGAGGCCUUCAGUGGAAUGGGGAUUGCAUGGGCUUGCCUCUCUUCAAGGAUUUCAGAUCUUCGUAGGAACCAAGGAUCUGCUGGAGACGUUGCUCAAUGAACAGCUUCUCCCUGCCACUCUUCACACUCUCCAAAUCUCUUCUGUAUGCAGUCUGAAAUCUUUGGACGGAAGGGGACUUGAGCACCUCACUUCUCUUCAACACCUACAAAUUGGAGGGUCCGAGAGUAUCAAAUUCCUGCCAAAAGAGGGUUUGCCGGCAUCUCUUUCUUAUCUGGGCAACUUGUAUAGUCCAGAGGGUGCGCCGGCAUCUCUUUCUUAUCUGAAGAAGAGGAGGUAUCUGAAGAAGAGGUAUGAGAACGUAGCUCGCAUUCCUUGCAUAGAGAUAGAUGGAAAAGUCAACAUCUUUUGAGCUUUCAUUUCACUCUCUCAAACUCUCAACUCUCAAGACAAAAGCCAGGUACUAAUUGUCCUCAGCAAUAUUCCAACUUAAAUUCAAGUUUCAGAGUCUAAUUCCGAUGAAAUUACAGGAUGAGUGGCGAGGGGAGUGAAUUAUUCCGGUUAAAGUCUUGAAGAGAGCAUGGCUUAUUGGCACUGCUUGCUAUAAUGCUAGUGUUGCUAGCCUAGGUGGCUGGCUGCUUCGCCUACAGAUUUCAGUGUAAGUAGUUGAACACUUGAGUGUAAUUUGCUUUUCUUCUCUGUAGCAAGGUAAUUCAACCAUGCAAUCAGUCAGGACAACACGAUGGGACUAACGUAUUUGUCGGCUUUAUUAAUGCAGAUGGCAACUCUGGAAUUGUAAAGAUAGGAUUAUCUUUACACCACUCUCUUUUGUCACCCUUGAGCACUGCAGACAAGCUGUAAUUCAGCUUUCCACCACUCUCUUUUGUUAUAAGUUCCAUUUGCUUGUUUUCUAAGAUAAAUGUAUCAGUACUAAUUUCUUCAUCUUUAAAUUUAGGAGCAUCUUGUUAAGCUGAGGUAUGAAAAAGGAAAGCAGUUGAGUUGGCAUCCUAUUGAAAUGGAUUCGAUCAUUUGAGAGAAAACGUGCUUUUCACAGUUCAAUUCAGAAUGAAACGGUAGAAAGCAUGUGAAGGUAAAGCUCUACGUUCCUUUCCUACAUUUUCAUCAAAACUCUGCAUCCCCAUACUCUCCUAAAGAAAAAUACAUAUCGCAUACUUUAAAUGUAAUUGUGCCUAUUGUUGCCAUCUAUGAACAUCUUAUCUCCUGGAAGUGAUCCAAAGGAACUGAGAGGUUAUAGCAUUCUUCUCGCCAUUGUGGAUUUCAUGAGCAAUUGAUAGAAUAUUCAAAGUUGCAUCUGGACUCGGAGGUUUGUUUUUUCUAUAUAUUAGCGUGUGGUGUCAUGUGACUCGCACAGCAAGUUAACAGAGGAAGAAAAAAGUUAUCUGAACAUUGCAGAUUCGCUCACUUUAUAUGUAGGCGAUCAUUUGAUUCGUUAACCGCUCUAGAGGAAAAUGCCGUGGAGAAAUAGACGAUGAUACGCCUUAACCCAAGUUUGAUGGGGAAAGUUGGAGCAGCGGGCACUCAAAUUUACAAGCCUUCUUGGUAAGUAGCAACUCAACCGUGGUAGUGCUUCAUGUCCAUUAUCGCGCAUAGCAGGAAAUUUCCCAGUCGCUAAGGGGUCCAUUCUUAAUAUAUAGUAUUUGUUUUUCUGAUUCGUAUGCAGCCACACACUUUGUUGCUGCCUGUGCCCUCGCGGGGGCUCAUUUUUCUCUAUCACAUACGUUUUAGGCCGGAACACUAGUCUGAUACUGUGGAACAACUUGUGGUGGAUAUUUAUGUUUCUCCUGCAUGUGAAGAGGUAAACCCUGGAUGAUGGUUUUCUCAUACUUGUCUCGUUUGCGGCAUAACUUUCUCAUCUUUCAAUGUAACUGUAAUCUUCAGGCAGGUGCACUGGAGAUAUGUUUCUCUCUACUAACACAACAGUUGAAGAGUGCCUCAUGGCUGUGCUUGCUUGAAGGCCAGUACGUACAUUACGUUACUAGAUUGCAUUUAUAUUGAGGAGGAUUUCACCGGUGGAACAUUGCAGAACAGCUGUAAAUUGUAAUUUACUUUCUUUCACUUUUUCUAUCUUCUAGCCGACCCCACUUAGUGGGAAAGGCUUUGUUGUUGUUGUUGUUGUCACUUUUUCUAUCUUCAAGUUUCUUUUAUCUAUAUUGCAUUUAUAUUAUGAGUCUUUUUCUUUGGCAGUUCAAUUCAACUAUAUGCUAAGUCAGGACAUUGUGAUGGUACUAACAGAUGUAUCGGUUUCAUUGAUGCAGCCAGCAAACAGUGUAAACCUGUAAAGAUAGGAUUAUCAAAUGGUGCUUUGGUUUUCUGGACUGUCAAGUUUGAAAUCUUUGAACAGAAAUGGACUUUCAAUACCUCCCACUCUUGCAAUUCUUGCCCGGACAGGGACCUGCAGACCUCAGCUCUCGUCAACAGCUAUACAAAUAUUGAAUGUAUGUGGGAUUUCAUCAGCCCAGAGAGAAAACUAUUGAACUGUAAAGAUAGGAUUAUCAGAGGGCAAACGAUGUUAGCUUACAUCAACUAUGCUACCCCUUCUUUUUUCUCUUAAAUUUCAGGACAGUAUUGUCAAAUAUAAUAGGAACCGGUCUUCAACACCUCCCACUCUCGCAAAUCCUGCAGGGACAAGGACCUCAGCUAUAUAAAGGUUGAUUGUAUGUGGGACUUCGUCGGUCCAGAGAGAAAACUAUUGAACUGUAAAGAUAGGAUUAUCAAAGGGAAAACAAUGUUAGCUUAUAUCAACUACUCAGGUACUUGUGUAUAUAUCUAUAUAUACUACUGUGGUUUCCAUAUGGCUGAAUGCUUACUCAUCUUUCAAUGCCUCUGUCAUCUUGUGGUAGCUGCAUAUACAUAUGUUUCCUUGCAAACACAAUGGUUGGAGAGAGCAUGGCUUAUUGGCAGCGCUUGCCAGAAUGCCAGUGUUACUAGACAUGGUGGCUGGCUGCUGCACCUACAGAUGUCAGUGUAUGUAGUUGAACACUUGAGUGUAAUCUGUUCUUCCUUUAUGUAUCAAUGUAAUUCAAGUAUGCAAUCAAUCAGGACAACACGAUGGGACUAACGUAUUUGUCGGCUUUAUUGAUGCAGAUGGCAACUCUGGAAUUGUAAAGAUAGGAUUAUCUACAGCCAACGAUUUGAACAUGCAUCGAUUAGUUGUCCUUGAAUGGUGCAUGCAUAUAAUUCUCCUUUAAUCGGAGAGGUUACCCCUGGAGUGAUGUUUUUUCUAAUGCUUUUAUAGUUUGAAUAUGAGAGGCAUGGCUUUUCAUCUUCUCUUGAUGUCACUCUCAUCUUUGAAUGGGUGCCAAUAUGAUUUUGUACAGAGAUAGUGGUUGAACAGCGCGCUUGAUCAUUGUAGCACCGUCGUCACGCUUGCAUUUGUUGGUAUUCCAGUAAAUGAUAUUACUAGAAUAAGUGGUUGGCUGGUGUGCUACGGAUUUCACAAGAAUGAUAAUUCUAACGUUGAGCACUGCAGACGAGCUGUAAUUGAGCUUUCCACCACUCUCUUUUGUGUUAAGUUCCAUUUGCUUGUUUUCUAAGAUAAAUGUAUCAAUAAUAAUUUCAUCAUCUUUGAAUUUAGGAGUACCUUGUUAAGCUGAGGUAUGAAGGUCAAGCAGUUGAGUUGCAUCCUAUUGAAAUGGAUUGGAGAGAAAACAUGCUUUUCACAGUUCGAUUUAGAAUGAAACGGUAGAAGCGUGUGAAGGUAAAGCUCUGCGUUCUUUUCCUACAUUUUCAUCAAAACUCUGCAUCCACACUCUCCUUAAUGAAAAAUAUAUAUCGCAUACCUUAAAUAUUGUGCCUAUUGGUGCUGCAUAUAAACAGCUUUUCUCCUGGAAGUGAUCCAAAGGAACUGAGAUGUUACAGCAUUCUUCUCACCAUUGUGGAUUUCAUGAGCAAUCAAGAGAGUAUUCAAAGUUGCAUCUGGACUCAGAGGUUUGUUUUCUAUAUAUUAGCGUUUGUGAUAUCUUGUAAUGUCAAGUGACUCGCAUAGCAAGUUAACAAAUGAAGAAGAAUUUUUUUGAACAUUGCAGAUUGGCUCACUAUAUAUGCAGGCGAUCGUUUGAUUCGUUAACCAAUGUAGAGGAAGUCUGGAAGAUGCCGUGGAGAAAUAGUGGAUGAUACGCCUUAACCCAAGUUUGAUGGGGAAAGUUGGAGCAGCGGGCUCUCAAUUUAGAAACGUUCUUGGUAAGUAGCAACUCAACCCUGGUGCUGCUUCGUGUGCAUUAUCGCACAUAGCAGGGAAUUUCCCAAUCUCUGAGGUGUCCAUUCAUUGUUUCCCUUAAUAGUAUUUGCUUUUCUGACUCGUAUGCAGCCAAAUGCACACUUUGUUGCUGCCUGUGCAGCCAAGUUCGCGCGUGGGAGUUCAUUUUCCUCUACCAUGUACUUUGAGGCCAGAGCACUACAUCGUUGGCUGCCCAUGGUGGCUGAUUUGGAAGCUGCUGCUGUGGAAGUGGGGAGUAAUUCCACUGUGUCUAUGGCAGGGUAGUAGCAAAAGGAGGAGGAUUAUUCUGCGUUUGCCGUUUGGUACAAUAUUAUGCGAGACGAGAGGCCAAAAAGGUUGCAGAGACUUGCACGAUUUGGAAAGUUGCUGUAUUUUGAAGACUCCCCCGAACAUUAUUUUGGAUGUUUUAAUUAACAGAAGCUAGAUAGUCAUAACCUGUAAUUUGUUGGUGCCUUUUUUCCUUCAACUGGGAUGAAAUUCCCGAUAAAAUUUUGAUGAGGUUAUGGUAUUCUUUAACCCAAUAGGAUCCCUCCAGAUCCUUUUGAUGAGGAUCAUAGGAAUUCGUGAAUCGUACUCAUUCAUCGUAUAUCGUGUGAUUAUUGGUACAAGAUCAAUGCAUCAAUAUGUAAGAUUUAAUCAUUAUAUGUGCCAACAGUUAUAUUUCAUUCAACAAAAUUUAUUUACAGAAGCAUAUAAGUGAUAGAAAUUAUCAAAAUUAAUCUUUUUAUAUGUUCGACAUUAUAAUACGUGGAUUAGCUCAAUAGCGUGUUUUAAUCAUAAUUUCAUUCUCUUGGUCAACUUAGGGUUUAGGUUCAUUCCAAACAUGUCAGUUGAAAAUACAAAAUUGUUACUAGGAAGUAAAAAUAAAACAAGAAUAGCUACAACUGUAGUUAUUGUGGGGAUCAAAAUCAAAAUUUUGUGUUUAUCAUUUUCUUUUUGUAUGAAAAAACCUCAGCAACCAAACAAGGACAUUGUUCAGUCAUUUGAAAAAAUAACACUUGUAACAUGUACACAAUAAUAAUUCAUUGAAAUUAAGCGGGUAUGAUUCAUGCUGGAAGAGUUUGAUAAACUUUAACCACCACCAAAAUACACAGUAAAAUGUCAUCCAACCGACGUACUUAACUGAAAUUUCAUCAAAGCACCCCCGCCAAAUACCACUUUCAUGUUUGCCGUGUGUGUGUGGUCCACUGCAUUAUUGACAAAAAAAUAUGAAGUCGUCUCACUAUUCUUGAAGUAAGUACCAGUUUGGUACUGCUUAAAUUAAUAAAAAAAAAAGUAUAAAAAAAUCUCUCUGCUUUUUAAUGUUUGGUAAACAUCAAGAAGCAAAAUUUUUUCAGUUUCGAAUGAAAAAACAAAGAACUAAAAACCCAAAGCACCGCCAACAUGCCCUAUUCUGUACAUCAGAUUUUGCUUAGAUUGCACCGUGGACUUGCCCAGAUUGCGCUGCCGACAUGUCCUAUUAUGUACAUCCGAUUUUGCCGCCAAAUUCGAAGCUUCGGCCAUCUGGAACCUCAGAAAAUGCUCUUCUUCUUUGUAUUUCUGCAAAUUAGGAGAGCCCAAGUUACUAAUCUGGUCCCUGUCUUCUUAUUCUUGCAGAACUAGUCUUCCAGAUUCCCAACCCUUCAAAUUGCAGGUUCGUUCCUUUCUCUGUCCCUCUCCCUGAAAAACACUUCAAAACCCAAUGAGAAAGAGGAGAGGUUAGACGCAGAAAACGAGAGAGGAAAACCCAGUGAGGAAGAGGAGAGGUUAGACGGAGAAAAUGAGGGGGAAGAUGUGUUGAGGAAGAAGAGUCUAAUCAAUGACUCUAGAAAUUCUACAAAGAGGAGAGGUUGUUGUGCGGAAGCGGCAUUCGACUGUAAGUGAAUAGUAAGACAGAACAGAAUAAAAACUAACACCAACAAGAACACCAACAUUUAUACUGGUUCGGCAAUGCCUACAUCCAGUUUGGAAGACGGAGUAUUCCACUAUAAUCAAUGAGAACAUACAAUAGUGUUUAUCACUCAAUUUCCCAAAGACCCAAAUAACCCCAAGCUCUCACACUUACAAUAGGAAGAGAAAACCAAAAAAAUACAAAGCAAGACAAUUUGAGAAAAUUCUUCUCUAUGCCAAAUGGCUUCUUGCUAUUUUUCUCUCUUCCUUGUUCUUCUCUACUUCUCCAUGCUUAUGGGUUGCACCUUGCUCUCCUUUUAUAGCCAAAGAAAAGCUUCUCAAAGACAUCAAUGGCCAAAGGCCUAACAUCAAGUCAAAAAGAAUUAGGCAUAAGUGCAUCCAAUUUUGGUUUCCCACAUGUAGCAUGCCAUCCAACAAUUUUGACCACGAAAGUAGCCCAAAGAUUUGGACUUUGACUACAUGUUUGAGUCAAUAAUCAACAAUCUCCACCUUGACUCAAACCCUCUAAGUAGAACUCCAAAUAGUCGUCUCCCAAUCCCCCAUGGGGCAAUCAACAAAUUUUACAAAUGCCAAUCAAGUCUAAGCAGUGUUUAAACUUGUGCAACGAAACUGGCUUUGUUAACAUAUCCGCAGGAUUGUCAGCGGUCCCAAUCUUCUGAAGAAGAAUAUCUCCCUCGUCAAUAACCUCACGAACAAAAUGGAACCUCACGUCAAUGUGUUUCGUACGUGCAUGAUGAACUUGAUUCUUUGCUAAAUGAAUAGCACUCUGACUGUCGCAAUGAACAUCCACAUGGUCUUGUUGAACCCCUAAGUCAUCAAGCAACCCUUGAAGCCAGAUGGCUUCCUUUAUAGCUUCUGUUACUGUAUUCUGCCUCAGUAGUCGACAAAGCAACUGUAGAUUGCAGAAUCGACCUCCAACUUACUGGACCUCCAGCAAUAGAGAAUACAAAACCAGUAGUAGACCUACGCUUGUCCAAAUCACCUGCGUAAUCAGAAUCCACAUAUCCAACAACACAUUUACUAGUAACUUUAUCCUGCUGGAACAAUAAACCAACAUCCACAGUACCCAAAAUAUACCGUAGAAUCCAUUUCACAGCUUGCCAAUGCCCUUUUCCUGGAUUAUGCAUAUAUCUACUGACAAUGCUAACAGCUUGUGAAAUAUCAGGCCUAGUACACACCAUAGCAUACAUCAAACUACCAACAACAUUUGCAUAAGGAAUUUGAGCCAUGUACUGACUCUCUUCAACCGUUUUAGGAGACAUAGAAGCGCUAAGUUUGAAAUGAGAGGCAAGAGGUGUACUAACCGGUUUUGAAUUUUCAUUCAUCCUGAAACGUUGUAGUACCUUCUUCAAAUACUGCUUCUGACACAGACUAAUCUUGCCCUUCGCUCUAUCUCUUUCAAUUUCCAUACCUAGUAUCUUCCGAGCUUCUCCCAAGUCCUUCAUCUCAAAUUCAUUACUUAGUUGAGUCUUCAACCUUGUAAUCUCCACUUUGCUCUUACAUGCUAUAAGCAUAUCAUCAACAUAUAAAAGCAGAUAAAUGAAGGUUCCAUCUUGUAGUUUGCGAAAGUAUACACAAUGGUCAUAGUGACUUCUUGUGUACUUCUGCCCGAUCAUAAAUCGAUCAAAUCGCUUAUACCAUUGUCUUGGAGACUGCUUCAAGCCAUACAAUGAUUUUUCCAAUUUGCAAACCCAAUUUUCCUUUCCAGCAACCUUAAAACCUUAUGGCUGAGACAUAUAAAUCUCUUCCUCCAAAUCACCAUGUAAGAACGCAGUCUUGACAUCAAGUUGGGCCAACUCAAGAUCAAACUGCACAACCAAAGCCAACAGAAUACGAAUAGAAGAAUGUUUUACUACAGGAGAAAAUACCUCAUUGUAGUCAAUGCCUUCCUUCUGAGCGUAGCCUUUAGCUACCAAUCUGGCUUUGAAUCUUACAUUGUCUUUUCCCAAAGAUUCCAUCUUUUUGGCAUACACCCAUUUACAACCAAUUGCUUUCUUCCCAUUUGGUAACUGAACUAGCUUCCAAGUCUCAUUUUUAUGAAGAGAUUUCAUCUCCUCAUCCAUAGAUUUCUUCCACAACUCGCACUCUGAACUCAUGACAGCUUCUUUGUAGGCGGAUGGAAUAUCAUCUUCAAUAACGGGAAGUGCAUAUGCCACAAUAUCAGUAAAUCGAGCAGGCUUUUGGAUUUCCCUUCUCGAUCUUCUGGUUGCAAUAUAGUCUUGUUGCUGUGGAGGCUCUUGGGUAGGUGCCUCCUCUUCAUCAUCCUCGUCCUCAUCAUCAGAAUUAACUGUAGGACUAGUGUUUGAAACAUCAAACCUUACUGGAACAACUGGAGUCUUCAGUAACUCCACCUGCUUUGAGCUCCUCAUGGUUUUGGUCGCUUCAGUUUCACCUUCAUGCUUGUUCUGAUUAACCAUAGCAGCCUCAUCAAAAGUCACAUCUCUGCUUACAACAAAUUUCUUCUCAUCUGGACACCAGAGUCGGUAUCCCUUCACGCCAGUGCUAAAGCCCAUAAAUAGAGCUUUCCUUGCUCUUGGAUCCAACUUGCUUUCUCUGACAUGAUAGUAAGCAGGACAACCAAAUAUGUGUAAAAACUUGUAAUCAGUACAAGGUUUACCAGACCAUACCUCCAUGGGCGUUUUGCCCUCAUUCGCAGCAGCUGGCAAUCGAUUAAUGAGGUGGCUUGCAUAAGUAAUUGCCUCAUCCCAAAAUGCCUUGCCUAAUCCAGCAUUAGACAACAUACACCGAACUUUCUCAAGCAAAGUACGGUUCAUGCGCUCUGCCACCCCAUUCUGUUGCGGUGUCUCCCUAACCGUGAAGUGCCUCACAAUACCCUCAUCUUGACAAACUUUCAAGAAAGGAUCAGACUUAUAUUCACCCCCAUUGUCUGAUCUGAGAGUCUUGAUCUUUCGACCGCUUUGCGUUUCAAUCAUCUUUUUCCACUUCAGGAAUAUCUUCAAGACUUCAUCUUUACGCUUCAUGGUGUACACCCAUAUUCUUCUAGAGAAGUCAUCAACAAAGGAGACAAAAUAAUGGCUACCUCCCCAAGAUGCAUUCUUGGAAGGUCCCCAAACAUCAGUGUGAACAUAAUCAAGAAUGCCUUUAGUGUGGUGAAUAGCAGUGCCAAAUUUUACUCUAGUUUGCUUACCCAACACACAAUGCUCACAGAAUUCCAAUUUGCAUGCCUUUGCACCUUUCAAUAAGCCUUGCUUCACCAAUCCUUGCAACGCUUUUUCACCAGCAUGCCCAAGACGCAUAUGCCAUAACCUCGUGGUGUCUGUGCUAUCUGCGUCAGCAGCUUCGGUGACAGCUGCUCCACCAAUAACUGUAUUCCCCUGCAAGAAAUACAAGUUAUUUCGUCUUGUACCUUUCAUCACCACCAGUGCCCCGUACACAGCUUUAAGAACUCCACCCUCCAUGGUGAUCUUGAGACCCUUGGAUUCCAAUGCACCUAGUGAAAUGAGAUUUUUCUUCAUAUCCGGUACAUACCGAACAUCACUUAAUUCUCUGACUGUUCCAUCAUGCAUCUUCAAACAUAUUUUGCCUAUCCCUUGUGUUUUGCAGGCAUUAUUAUUACCAAUCAAAACAACUCCACCAUCCAGCUCCUUGAAAUUAGAAAACCAUUUCCGAAUGGGACACAUAUGAUAGGUGCAACCUGAAUCCAAAAUCCACUCAUUUGAGUGACCAUCAGCAUAUGAACUAGCCAAAGCAAACUCGAAAUCAUCAUCAUCUCCAUAUUUUGCAAUAUUUGCUUCAGAACCCGUUUUCUCCUUCUCUUUGUUCUUCAAUUUGGGGCAGUCUUUCUUCCAAUGACCCUUUUGGCGACAAAAAGCACAUUCGUCUUUAGCAGGAAACUUCCCUCGUGACUUUGAACGAGAUUUUCCCCGCUUCCCAGAUUUUCUUUCCUCUGUUCGACCCCUUGCAACAAAUGCCUCGGUUUGUGAAUUGUGAGUCUUCAGCUCCUUCUUACGACACUCAUGAUUUACCAAUGCCGCAGACACCUCAUCAAGUUUCACCUCGGAUUUUCCAUACAACAGAGUAGUUGUCAAAUGAUCAUAAUCAUCAGGCAAUGAAUUUAACAAACAUAGUGCCUUGUCCUCGUCAGGAAUUUUCACAUCAAGGUUUGCUAAAUCAGUAAGUAUUUUAUUGUAAUCAUUGAGGUGUUCGUGCAUAGAGAUACCUGGACGAUACUGAAAUCGGAAGAGUCGCUUCUUCAAGAAAAGACGAUUUUCUGCACUCUUGGUCAUAUACUUCUCCUCCAAUUUCGUCCAUAACUCCUUAGCAGAAGUUUCCUUCAUAUACGGGUAUUUCAACUCCUUAUCAAGGAACGAUCGAAUAGCAGCACAAGCAUGAAGAUUAAUUCGCGUCCACUGCUUGUCAUCAAUAUCUUCUGGUUUAUCUUCCAGAACCAUAUGCAACUCUUGUUGAUACAACACAUCCAUAACUUCACAUUGCCACAUACCAAAAUUAUUAGAGCCAUUGAAUUUAUCAACCUCUAACCUUGUAGUAGUGGUUGGAUGUCUAUUGGAUGUAGACGAAGACGAUGUUGACCCCUUCUUUACAGAUUCGUCUUUAUCUCCAGCCAUCUACUCGGCACUGUUCACAAAUACGGCAUUGUUCACAGGUACAAUACUGUUCACAGAUACUGUAGCAGUUCACUGAACUGUAGCGCCAACACUAUUCACGGAACUGGGCUCUGGUACCACUUGUUGUGCGGAAGUGGCAUUCGACUGUAAGUGAAUAGUAAGACAGAACAGAAUAAAAACUAACACCAACAAGAACACCAACAUUUAUACUGGUUCGGCAAUGCCUACAUCCAGUUUGGAGAUGACGGAGUAUUCCACUAUAAUCAAUGAGAACAUACAAUAGUGUUUAUCACUCAAUUUCCCAAAGACCCAAAUAACCCCAAGCUCUCACACUUACAAUAGGAAGAGAAAACCAAAAAAAUACAAAGCAAGACAAUUUGAGAAAAUUCUUCUCUAUGCCAAAUGGCUUCUUGCUAUUUUUCUCUCUUCCUUGUUCUUCUCUACUUCUCCAUGCUUAUGGGUUGCACCUUGCUCUCCUUUUAUAGCCAAAGAAAAGCUUCUCAAAGACAUCAAUGGCCAAAGGCCUAACAUCAAGUCAAAAAGAAUUAGGCAUAAGUGCAUCCAAUUUUGGUUUCCCACAUGUAGCAUGCCAUCCAACAAUUUUGACCACAAAAGUAGCCCAAAGAUUUGGACUUUGACUACAUGUUUGAGUCAAUAAUCAACAGAGGUUAGAUAGAGAAAGCAAGGGGAAGAUGGAUAAUUUUUUCAUUGUGAUGCAAGUACAAGUGUUACACCACGUGUUUUAAUAGAAGUGGUGGAAAAUUUUAUUUUUUAAAUUAUUAACUUUUUAGCACACGUAUCCCACCAUUUGUAUAGUGACACAUGAUGUAUUAUCCCGUGUAUCGAUCACACUGAAAAAAUCUCUCGGGAAGAUGUGUUAAGAUGGAGAAAACGAGGGGGAUGAAAAUCAAGGAAGGUGAGUCUGAUCAAUGACUCUAGAAAUUCUAGAAGGAGGAGAGGUUAGACCGAGAAAACGAGGGGAAAAUGAGUUAUGACGAGGGGGACGAAAAUUAAGGAAUGAGAGUCUGAUUAAUGACUCUAGAAAUUCUAGAAGGAGGAAAGGUUAGACAGAGAAAAUGACAAGCCCCGAACCUGAUAUCUCUAAAUAUCAGGAUAGGCUCAUGCUGGCCGACACUCAAGGGUGACAAAACCAUUUUAAACAUGCAUACAAAUAAAAUACGUGAUUAGAAAAAAAAAUGCCAAUACUGAAACGUGUUUAGAGCAUACAACUAAUUAACAAUAAAGUGGAAGAAAUAUUAUAAAAAUGUACAAACAAAGGAAUGGGUCAUACACAAAGAAGACUCGAAGAUACCGUUGUGGGAGUGCCCUGACGAUUGGAUCGCAUGCCUCGAUUCUAAAUUUGAAAGGGGCACAAAACAAAUGGUGAGUGAACCAAAGUUUAAUAAUUAAUAAUAAGAAAAUUGAUUUCUUUUUUAACAUACUAACCCCAUGUUUUGAGAACUCAUAUAAUACUACAUAGUAGGUUUUCUGAAAACUCUAGCAUGCCAUGAAAAACAUUCGUAAAACAUGUAUGUGUAAACCUGUAACAACCCGAAAUUUCUAAUUUGGAAGCUAAUUAUCAAGAUAGGCCCAAAUUAUUUUUCUUAGCCAAAUUCCAAGAAAAGAAUAAUUUCAGUUAUUUGAUUAUGGCUGCAUCUAAUCUCGUUAGACUGCCUACGUACCCUACAAAGGGAUCAAGCCAUUCGUAGUUCACAAAUUCAAUUUUUAACUCAUUUCCGAAUAUAUAUCAAUCAAGUGACUAACAAUCACUAACUAGGUUCAAACAAGUGAAUCAAGUGAUCAUCGUUUAAGUAGUUUAUUGAGUAUCAUCAUCUCUGUUAUAUUCUCUUGGACUAAGAAUGUAAGCAUAAUUCUACAAUUAAUUAUUUAUCUCAACCAUUUUACAAUUGUCUAGCCACUCGUUAAUUCGUCCAAGCUUUCAACUUCGUGGUCAUAAUUCAAGCAUAUACACAUAUACAAUAACUAGCUUACUUCAUAAAUCAUAUUAAUCUACGAGGAAGAUUGGCAUGCAUACCUCCAGUCUCUCUUAAAUUUAGAUUUUCUUAAAUCAAUUGAAAAGCCAAUGGAUGGGGAGAAGGACAUGCACCUGUUCGAGCAUGCUUUCUUCCUUUCUGGCCUUGUGAAAGCAAAGGGUGCAUCUGAUGCGGCAUCAGAUCUCUCUAUUUCGGUGUCUUCCCAAGCGAAAGAAGAAGCGGCUCGGGCUGCCAUGGAGGAACACUGAUAAGUCUCCCUGUAAACAAAGCUAUGAACUUCUGCCUUGUUUGGUGAUUUCUGGAAAAAUCAAGGUGACAAACGUGAUGGGCUCGACGAGGGCUUGAGUUAAGAUGUAAGAUUGGUCAAAUUCGAUGAUUAAAGGAAAGAGGUAUAAGAUUUGUGUUUAGGGGAGCCCAAAACGGAAACAAGAACAACAACUCUUCCUUUUUCCUUCCUUUCCUCCCCCCCCCGGGAAGAAGAAAAAGGUCUCCUCCCUUCUAGAACAAUCUCCUUUUUCCCCCAUUUACUAUAUUGCCCAUCAACUAAAAGAUUAAAAAUCCGCAACUUCUUCGUCGAAAUUCCGAUUAGCACCCAAUUUGCACUCACACAUUCGUGGCGACAAACAUUAUUCAAAUAUACUAAAUUAUAUGUCAAACGUGUCACGACCACAAGGUUAACAAAAGUCAGCACAUCUCCUUACGAGCAUUUUCACUUAUCAAUAAAUUUUACGAUGUAAAUUAUAAUAAUUUCUGAAAACAAACUUUAAAAGUUCUUAAUUAAAUUUUUCAUAACCAUAAAUCAUUUAUUCUUGAUUUACUCCACAUAACCAUGUAUUUUAAAUUUUCAGGGUAUUACAAAACCAGUGCUCAGUAAUGGUAAUAUAGUCGCCUGAAGGUAAAUCCGUAAAACAUCUGUAAAUCACAUCAAUGGUGUACUCAACUAGGGUUAUCAUAAUCGCCCGAAGGCAUAACCAUCACUUGAAGGUGAAGCUAUACGACAUUGGGUUACGCUAGUGAAGAAAUGUGGUGGGUCCCAUCACCCGAAGGUGAAGUUGUACGACUCUGGGUUACACCAGAGAAGAAAUACAUAUAUAUACAUAACACACCGACACUAGCCGUGGCUAAUGAAGCUGUUCGACACUGGUUUCGCCAGUGAAGUUGGGAGUAUGUCAUAAAUAUCCUCAACUGUGUUCUAAGGCCAUAGACGUCUAUAUACUCGUGUUGUGUGUAUGUGUUGUAUGAUAAGCCACUAGAUAAGCACAGAAAACGUAAUUCAAAAUCUCAUAUCAAAUCAUCGGAGCUCAAAAGCUUAAAGCAUCAAUUCAUAAACCAUAAUAAAUCAUAUUUGUAAAUCCGUAAUAUAUCAUACGUGUAAAUCCAAUGAUUUAUAACGUUUUGUAAAACAUAAUUCGAUAAAUCAUAAAUAGUGCAUAAAACAUAAAACCAUGAAAUCAUGCUUUUUGUGAAUGCAAACCUAAUAUUUUAUAAAAACAUGCAAUUUAAGAAGGGGUCCACUCAGAAAUAUUCCGCAAAUGAGGAGCCACUCGAACUAGGGAGGACGAGGUCACUUCCAACAAACGCACUUAAACAUAAAUAGAGACCAUUCAAUAAAACUUUACAAAAACGAUCGAAUUUGGGAAAAUGAAUUUCGGAUUCGGAUUCGGCACGUCGAAAAACUGAAGGAGGGACCUCGGGUUCCCCCAUGUGCCGCUGCACGUGCCGAGAUGGGUCACCAGAAAAGUUGUUGGCGCUGCCGUGGACGGCGGCGGAGGCGCGUGCACUCCACACGCUGGCCUAAGACAACCCACGCACCGCGAGUACAAGUGUACUUGCCUUCCUCGCAAGGCUGGGGAUUUUGCAGGUUUCAGGCCGACUUUCAAAGCUCAUUUCGAGCUUGAUUCUCAACCAAUUUCAGUGAUAUAAUAACCUAAAUGAAGUUAGGAAUGUAGGGAAUCGAUACAUACCCAUUGGAGGCCGUGACAUGGUCGGAGUUGGCCGGAAAAUGGGUCUGAAAGUGGCUAAAUGGCCAUUGUUUCAACUUCCAUAAAUAAGGGAAAUUUUUCCCAAGAUGUUUUCUUGCAUCCAACACUCGAUUAACACUUACCAACUACUCUAAUCUAACCUAAAACACGAUCUAGAAGAUUUUAGGAGCUUACCUGCGUCGGGGAUGGCGAGGACUCGCCGUGGUUCGUUGGGGAAUACGAUGAACAAUGACUAUCGAGAGAGAGAAAAUGAGAUGGAAAAGAGGUGAGAAAGGGAGGAGGGAGGGCCCAUAUAUGGUGAUGGUGCUUGCCGGAGUGGCAAGGCUAGUGGUGGUAAAUGCGGUGUUGUCACUGUUUGUUUGUGUGUGUGCGUUCGUGCUCGGAGAGGAAAGAAGAGUGCAGAGAUGAGAGGGAGAGAAAAGCAGAGAGAGUUCUAGAGAGAGAAGUCCACGGGGGGAAAAAGAAAAAGAAGAAAGAAAAGGGGGAGGAAUGAGAGUGGGCCGGGAGACAACCCAAAAUAGGGGUGGGCCUUACUGGCACACCAAACAAAGUGAGUGUUUUUGCCUCGAAUGGCAUUUUCUUCAAUUCACGCUUUAAAAAUGAUAAAUACCAUAAAAUUUGAGACGAGUCGUUACAGAAAAUGAGGGGGAAGAUGUGUUAAGAUAGAGAAAACAAGGGGGAUGAAAAUUAAGGAAGGAGAGUCUGAUCAACGACUCUAGAAAUUUUAGAAGGAGGAAAGGUUAAACGGAGAAACGAGGGGGAAUAUGUGUUAAGACGGAGAAAAUGAGGCAGACAAAAAUUAAGGAAGGAGAGUCUAAUCAAUGACACUAGAAAUUCUAAAAAGGAGGAGAGAUUAGAUGGAGAAAACGAGGGGAAAGAUUUGCUAAGAUAGAGAAAAAACAAACAAAAACGCAUAAUAUUUUGCACACAAAAUCAAACAAAACAAACAAAAACGCAUAAUAUUUUACAUUAGGCUUAACUUGCGGGGUCCACUGCAUUAUUGACUAAAACAAGAUGAAUUCAAUUCUUUCACACAAAUGAACUUGAGCUUGUAGAUGAUCGUAACAGGCUCUGAAAGUUCCUCACCUGAAUUUCAUCUGAGUUGACUUAUUUACUCACUAGAAUUUCAAAAGAAUUUUCAGUUUUUCAACUUCAAAUAUUUAUUCAAAAUUAGACAUUUCGCCAAGAAGAGAAAAUGGCUUUGGUUGGAGAGGCUUUGCUCUCCGGUUCGAUCAAGCUGCUGUGCGACAAGAUUGCCUCCGGACAGUUCAUGGAUUUCUUCCGGGCAAGAAGGCUCAACCAUUCGCUCAUGGACAAACUGAAGGUGACUUUGAUGACACUUCAUGCAGUACUCGACGACGCAGAGGAGAAGCAGAUUGUCAACGAUGCCGUGGCGAUGUGGCUUGAUGAACUCAAAGAUGCUGUGUUCGAUGCGCAGGACCUGGUGGAUGAGAUGGAUACUGAAGCUUUGCGUCGCAAGGUGAAAGAUCAGACUAAGCAAACCCAGGUGUGCAACUUCCUCUCUACCUCUCUUAGUCCUUUUAAUUAUAAGGGCAUGAAUGGUAGGAUAAAGGAUUUAUUUCAGAGGUUAGAACACCUUGCAGAACAGCGAAAUCGCCUUGGUCUUAGAGAAGGUGUUGGGCGCAAGGUUUCACAAAGAACUCCCACAACUUCUGUAGUUGAGGAAGGAUUCUGUCCCUAUGGUAGGGAUGCGGAUAAAGAAAAGUUAAAAACACUACUGCUGCCAUCUGACAAUGAAAGUAGCAGUAAUUUUUCUGUAGUCCCGAUAGUCGGAAUGGGCGGGGUUGGUAAGACAACCCUUGCUCAACUCCUUUACAAUGAUGAACAGGUUAAAGAGCAUUUUGACAUUCAUGCUUGGGUUUGUGUUUCCGAACAGUAUGAUGCUUUGAGGGUGAUUAAGACCCUUAGUGAGCAAAUCACUGAGAAAUCUUGUGAUAUCUCAGAUAUGAAUUCCCUUGAAAUUCGACUAAGGGAACAAGUAAGGAGGGAACAAGUAAGGGAUAUCUCAGAUAUGAAUUCCCUUGAAAUUCGACUAAGGGAGCAAGUAAGGGGAAAGACAUUUUUAUUUGUCCUGGAUGACCUUUGGAAUGAGAGCUAUGACGAGUGGGAUCGUCUACGAACUCUUUUCACUUAUGGGGCGAAGGGAAGUAAAGUCAUUGUAACAACAAGGAGUAGACAUGUUGCAUCCACCGUGUACAAUACUAUUCCAACUCAUGACUUGGAAAAAUUGUCGGACGAUGAUUGCUGGUUGUUACUGACAAAACAUGCAUUUAGAAAUGAAAAAUCUAGUGCACAUCCAGACUUGGAAGAAGUUGGUAAGAAAAUUGCACGCAAGUGCAACGGUUUGCCUUUAGCUUCAAAAACACUAGGGAGUCUCCUAGGUUGCAACCUAGACUACAAGGAAUGGAAUCACAUAUUGGAUAGCAAUCUUUGGGAUCUACCACACGCUAAUAGUGUUCUUCCUUCUCUAAGAUUGAGUUACCAUUAUCUUCCAAGUUACUUGAAACGAUGCUUUGCUUAUUGCUCAAUUUUUCCAAAGGGGUAUGAAUUGGAAAAGGAAAAUGUUAUUCUAUUAUGGGUGGCAGAAGGUUUAAUUCCACAAUCAGAGAGAGAGAAAGCAAUGGAGGAGGUUGGUGAAAGAUACUUUGAUGAACUGUUAUCACGAUCACUAUUUCAAAAACCAAGAUUGGAUCAACCAAGUUUCACUAUGCAUGAUCUAAUCAAUGACUUGGCUAUGUUUGUGUCUAGAGAGUUUUGUUUUAGAUUGGAUCAGAAGCAUUCGCAUGAAGUUCCUAAAAGAGUUCGCCAUUUCUCGUAUAUGAGAGGAAAUAUUGAUACAUCUUCAAAAUUUCAGCCAUUAGGUGGAGUGAAGUGUUUGCACACGUUCUUUCCAGUGUCUUUAACACCAUAUGAUAACACAAGGGAUGAUGAACUAUAUGUAAGCAAUAAGGUUCUAGAUGAUUUACUCCCAACACAAAAAUGUUUACGGGCAUUUUCAUUGUCAAGAUAUAAAAAUAUCAAUCACUUACCAAAUUCCAUUGGUAACCACAUACACUUGCGCUACAUUGAUCUCUCUUAUACGACAAUUAAAAUGUUACCAGAUACAAUGUGUAGCCUCUACAAUUUACAAACUCUGCUAUUGUUGGGUUGUUCUUCUCUUGUUAAAUUGCCUGCAAACAUGAAGAAAUUGAUUCAUUUGCGUCAUCUUGAUAUUCGUGGAACUGACAUAAACGAGAUGCCUGUGCAUAUGGGUAGAUUAAAAAGUUUGAGAACGCUUACAGCUUUUGUAUUGGGAAAAUCUACUGGGUCAAACAUUGGAGAACUGAGGGAGUUGUCGCACCUACGAGGAAAAAUUUCUAUCUUGAAUCUACAAAAUGUAGUCGGUGCUAUUGAUGCCUUGCUGAAGGAUAAGAAAGAUCUCAAUGAGGUAGAGUUGGCAUGGGGUUAUGAAGUUUCCAAUGAUUUUGUGAAAAAGAAACAUGUACUUGAAAGACUACAACCUCCCGUAAAUUUGGUGAAACUAACCAUCAAGUGGUAUGGUGGAACCAGUUUCCCGAAUUGGGUGGGAGACUCGUCCUUCUCCAACUUACAAGUGAUGCGUCUCAGCGGCUGUAGUGAUUGCAGUUCACUGCCACCAGUUGGUCGGCUACCUGCUCUCAAAGAGCUUUACGUAGGAGGGAUGACGUCAAUUACCAGUGUUGGUGUUGAGUUCUAUGGUGGAAAUCAACCAUUUCAAUCUUUAGAGAAGCUAGAGUUUGUGUAUAUGCCAAAGUGGGAGGAAUGGCUGCCGAGUCCAAGUGGAGGUGAAAGUCCGGACUUUCCUCGUCUUAAGGAGUUGAUUUUAGACCAAUGUCCAAAACUGAGAGGAAACUUGCCCACUCAUCUUCCUUCCUUGGGGAACCUUGGGGUCUAUCGAUCUAAUGUACUGCAUUGGUCGAUGGAGACGCUGCCGUCUCUUCAGAAGCUUGAUAUUGAUAUUGUUGGCGGGAAAGAGUGGCUGCCGCAAAUGGUGCGCAACAGCAAUUGUCUUCAAAGUAUGACUCUUUCUUUCUGUUCCUCACUCUUGUCGCUCCCUACAAAUGGUCUGCCCACCACGCUGACGUCACUCCGUAUAUCAUAUUGCAAGAAGUUAGAAUUCCUAUGCGAGAUGAUGGCCAAAUUGACUUCCCUUCAGUCUUUGCGUCUAUCCAACAGCUGUGAUUCUCUGAGGUCGUUCCCUUUGGGCAUUUUCCCCAAACUUUCAUGUCUUGAAAUAUGCAGUUGCCGGAAUCUGAAAUCCCUUUCUGUUGAAGGAGGAGCAGAUGAAAACCUCAGCCGUCUCAACUCCCUCCGGAUCGAGACAUGUCCAAAUCUUGUCGCUUUUCCCGACGGGGGAUUGCCCACUCCCAACCUCACUUCCUUUUAUGUCUCUGGAUGCAAGAGUUUGAAGUUGUUGCCGGACCACAUGCACACCCUCACCGCCCUUCAAGAAUUGUGGAUAUCCAAUCUUCCAAAUGUGGUGUCAUUUGCACAAGGGGGUUUGCCUCCCAACCUACAAUCAUUAUCUAUCAGUGACUGUAACAGACUGAGGCCUUCAGUGGAAUGGGGAUUGCAAGGGCUUGUCUGUCUUCGGCAAUUUCGGGUCUCCAGAGAAAGCAAGGAUCUGCUGGAGACGUUGCUCAAUGAACAGCUGCUCCCUGCCACUCUCCACACUCUCCAAAUCUCUUCUGUAUGGAACCUGAAAUCUUUGGACGGAAAGGGACUUGAGCACCUCACUUCUCUUCAACAGCUACAAAUUGAAUGGUGCGGGAGUCUCAAAUUCCUGCCAAAAGAGGGUUUUCCGGCAUCUCUUUCUUAUCUGAACAUCAGGAGGUGCCCUUCUUUAAAGAAGAGGUAUCUGAAGAAGAGGUAUGAGAACGUAGCUCGCAUUCCUUGCGUAAAGAUAGAUGGAGAAGUCAACAUCUUGUGAGCUUUCAUGUCACUCUCUCCAACUCUCAACUCUCAAG